UUGUUUCAACCAAUGUAUUCUAAUUACAUAGGCUUGUAUAUUACAAAUGGUAAGAUUCGUUUCAUGCUUAAUCAAUGUUUUCAUUUCUAUGAAGUGUGUCAAGUAUAUGUAUAUUUUCUGUGAUACCAGCCAAAAAAAAAAAAAAUGGUUUUAGAGAAUUAGUUUAAUGUGUAUAUAUCAAUCUUUCAACGGCUCUUUGAAGUUAAGGAGAUAGCGAUUGAUGAGACAGCGGUGAACAACGACAAAAAAAAAAAAAAAAAAAAAAAAACUUAGUAACCAACGGAUAAAGAAUUCGAAAUCAGGGACCUCUAUGCAAUAACAAGAAAUAAACUCCUAAAGAAUUUAGCUGUGGCAAAAUCUAAUUUUAUUCUUUUACCUAUGCGACCUAAAUUUAUUGAAUCUAUAUCAUUGCAUGAAAGCGUAAAACAUAACAAUUAUUUAUUUUGUCAAAUAAUAAUAAUAAUGUGUAACAUAAUUUUACACUGCAUUUAUAAUCUUAUUUUGUAGCUACCAAAACUGGCAAGACUAUGGAUGAUGAUGAUAAUGGUAGUAACGCCAAAGGACAUAUUUGCAGACUUUACAAUGAAAUCUUCAACCUUUCUUCUGCAUCCAUGGUGAUGGUAGCUCCUCAAAAGUCUCUCUGUACACCAAAGAACCCUACAUAACUUCAUCUUCUCAUCUCUUUAAGAAAACCCAAUCCCUUCAAGAUGGAGAAUAUAUAUAUAACCAACCCCCCAUAGAUAACUCCAUUAUUCAUCCAUCCAUGUCCUGCAUCAGCUUGCUCAAGCUAAUUUACCCAAAGAUCUCCAUCCACAAAGACAACUAUGGUGGAUCUUGUCAUAUGGUUUCUUCUAGUGAAUUGCCAUUAUUCUCAUGUAAUAGCUGAAGGCAUUCAUAUGGAUUAGCGUAGAAGUAGUCCUCUUCUUUCGGUCUAUUUGGAAUCACUAGCCGUCUCUUUGGCCCUCCCAUUCGUGUAGCGUGAAAGGCCUUAACCGUGGUUGAAAACACUUCCCAGCUCAACAAUCCUUCAUAGUACUCAUCUAUUAGCUUCACCAAGAACUUCCUGUUCAGCUCAAUCGUCUUCUUGAACCCCAAGAACCUGUAUGUCAUCUAAAUGCAUUAGCCGUUGAUGUAAGAAACAUAACCUAUUCUUUAGAUUAGAAAAGUUACAGCAAAUGAUUCACCUGCGAUGACCUUCCACGACUUUCGCCAUGUUCCCAUAAUAUGUAGGAACGAAUAUGUCACUUUCAAGAGAUAUAAGGUAAUCCAGAGCAGCCAUUUGAGAAGAAUGGUUCUGACAAAAACUCAAAUCAGAGGAAUCCAGUAGAGUUUCUUUCCUGACCUGGUUUGAUCAAAAAUAUUAUAUAUCCGUUACUAACUAUUGAGUGAAAGAUUAAGGAAUUAGCCGUUUUUUGAUAGUAAGCUCUUGCUUUUUGCUACUAACCACAUUUGGAAAAACGUCAGUUAAAGCCUUUAACCGCCUUUUACCACCAUAUAUUUCUCCGGCAGCAAUGUAAAUCUGAACAUUACGGUCAAUACCCAAUGCCGAUAGAGUAAGAGCAGUUUCUUCUGGAGUCAAUGGGCAAAGACCUUCUUUCCUCUUCAACUCAGAGUCUAUUACUUUCUCUUUCCACCAUGGAUAAGCAUACCUAAACAAUGGAAAGCAUGAUAACGUCAAUAUCACAAAACAAAAGCCCCAAGUAAUAAUAUAAGAUGAUAGUUUCUUUACCUCAUUCUUGUUAGUUCUUCUUCCUCAUAGCGGUUGCAACCAUGUGAGCAGCCAGAAAAUGCCAACAUAUCCAUUUCAUAUCUGAGAUGCAGAACAAGAAAGGGACCUUUCUCCCUCAGAAUCUUGACUACUCUUCUACCCAAUUCCUCAAUCUUUGGAGUAAACCUAAGCCCAUUGAAAUUUGCUCGGCAUCGCAGCUUCUGAAUCUCAACAGGCAGUUCGUUAUUAACAAGUCGAGUAUCGGUCUUGUUCAGAUGUACAACUUUGUACUUCUUCACCAGCGGAAGAAUCUGUUUGCAAGGAUUAUGUAUAAAGAAGCUGUGAGACACCAUGAAAAUAAAUUGUAGGCUAAUCUCAUAAAAGACUAACAAGAAAAUAACCUGGUCUUGGUAGUAGGACAUGUUGGACCAGCUAAUAGGAGGCAUGGUGUGAUACAUCCCGAGCCUAACCCUUCUUUUAAGCCUGGGAGGAAGCUCUUUGAGUAUACGAACCUCAUCUCUCAAAGAACUUAUGAAGUGAUCCACGUCGAAUAUGUCUUUGAACUCACUGCCCACAUGAAAAUCCAGUCAGCAACUUUAAGAGAGAUUACCAGUUCAGUGAAAGAAGAAAUUAGAAAGAACCUUGGAUCAUUCCAAAACGAGGUCUUGUCAAGCUCUGGUACAAUAAGUGUGACAUUCAUAUACCUUGCAAUAGUGACCAUAUCACAUAUCUGAGGAGAGAAAACAGAGUCCAACAGUCAGAUCAAUAAAAGCACAGCUUUCAGAGAUUUCUUAAGAGGAUUAGUAAUGAUCAUACCGCUGCUCGCAUUUGGUUGAGUCCGCCAUUGCAAGAAACCAUAAGAUAGCCGUUGUUCUGAUAUAUUCCUGAGAUGAACAAAGAGCACAAACAAAAAAAAAGCAUAAAAAUUGGAAUCCUGAUAAAGCACAACAGACACAACUUGAGAUAACCAGAUAGUUGCAGCUAAGCUACAAUAACAGGAAAGAAACUUACUUUUAGGCGGAAGGGCGAUCUUCAUGGGAAGAGAAGUCAUUUGAGCAGCCAUUGGGAGAUCAUGGUGAUUGAAACAAGAAGGCCAGCCUUUCAACAAUCUAGGUCCCCACAUCUCUCCCAAAGCCACCAAAUGAACAAAACAACUCCAAAGCAACAAUAUAGUCAUAGCCCGAAUCAUCCAUAGGCUCAUACGAGACCUCGAAACCAAAGAGUUCUUAAACUUCUCUAUCUUACUAUCUCCAAGAAACUUAACCUUCAUCUCCCAGAGUUUCCUGUGGUAUAGAAACUUCUCUGCUUUACACAUUAUUCAAAAUCCACACAGGGGAGUGUCUCAUCAAACAGAUUCCAGACUUAAGUCUAGCUACAGAGCAGCUUGAGAUCCUUCCUCAGAUUUACACAGACAAUAGAAUACACUCGGAUAAGAAUCACGCUCUCUCUCUCUCAGCGGCACUAAUGAUUCUUAAUUUAAACACUCAGAAAAAUGUAAUCUUUCACGCAAAACCAGGGAAUUCGCAGAACAUUUAUUACUCCUCGAAAGAAUCCAGAUUCUUGCUCUCAAGUCAACCACAAAUUUCGCCUCUCAAUCAAUUAAAAAAUACAAAACACUAAUCUGAGAUUUCACAUCCGACAAAACUCUCUCAACCCAGAAAUAAAAGAAAAAAUAGAUAUUUGGAAGCUAACUCUCCAAAUUACAAUGCAAUGGCGAUUCUUGAAACUUAGUAAGAAGAAGUAAGCAAAACUGAAGAAACAAUAAUAAAAAAAGAAAGGAGGAAGCUUUAGAGAAUGCUUGCUAACUAUGUUAACGAGAGAUGCUUCUUCGUCCAGAUCCGGUACCAAAGAAUCAGGAAACUGGAUCGAAGCUCCUCAGAAAGAAGAAGAAGAUCAGGACAAGAAUGUGCAAAAAGAUAACUACUUUCUCACAAAUGUUUAAGAUUUGAUCAUUCACACACAAAAAAAAAUAAAACAACAACAAAUGAACUGUCUUUUUUUUUUUUUUUGCUUUUGUCGGUAGUCUAUUUUUUUUCUGACCGUUUUGUUAACCUUUUCUGUGUAAGACAGUUGGAACCAUUGUUGUUAUAUAGCUCCAUCGUUUUAUGUGUUUACUGAUAAGAAAUCAAACAAAUAAAUAUCUCUAAAGGAUACAAAAUCUACAAGUAUAUAAAUACGAACACGGAUUCUUUUAUUUAUUUCUGCUAACAAAUCUUUUAAUCAAAAUUUUAUAAAGAUUUUCAUGCACGAACCAAGUUUUAAAUUUAAAUAUGUGUAAUUUACUAAUAGGGAUAAUAUUCACUAAAACUAUAAGUUACGGAUGCAAUUAUAUUCUGAAUUAUAUUUAAUUAUUUAAUCAGUCUAUAGUAAGUUAAACUCUGCCACGACUUGAUUUCAACUUUAUCUGAUAUUUUUUUAUUAUUUGAUAAUUUGUUUGUGAGUGCGAGAGAUUUUAAGCUAAACUACUUUUUUUUUUUUAAUUCAAACAAUAAGUAUAAUAAAAUACCAAUCUUUCUAUUUUUUUUUUCACACAAGUUACAUAUGGUUGAAAACAGUCAACCUUUAGAUUUUGUUUGGCCAAAUCGUUUUAAUUGUUAUCUUUUACUCGCUAUGUGUAUUUAUAUUAGGAAGUUAAGUAACAUAUAUAAAUACAGUUAUAUAGCUAAAACCACGUCCAAAAGUCCUGUCUCAAACCAUUUUCUUCAUUAAUUAAGACCGAUGAAGUAGUUUAGUGCCAAACUUAAAUUAAAAGGAAAAAAGAAACAGAAAACGAACGAAUAUUUAUAAAUCUAAAUAUUCUUUAGAGUUUUUCCAUUGAAUGAGUGAUGACCACAAAAUUAGUAAACAUAUAUUACAUUUUUGGUAAUGUAAUGACGACUGCAAAUUAGCAAACGCAUAUAAAACUAUAUAUCACCAAUAUAACGAAUACAAAAUCGGCAUAUUCUAGUCUUGUGGAUCUCUAUCGUUGACAGCCGUCGACUACAUUUAGAUUUUUUUCUUUCAGAAGACUCCAUAUAGUUUUCUUACUAUAUUCUAAAAUAGAAUUAUGAAAAGUCAUACUAUGUUUUCUAUAUAGGCAAUGAGUAAAAGAGCAAACACAACUAUAGUAUUUGGUACCUCCUUAGUUUCAUUUGAAGCAUAUAAAUCUCACAGAACACUAAACAUAACUAUUCAUAAUGUAGCAUGAUCAGUUUUCAUUUUGCUCUUUUUUUAAUAAAAAAUUAGACUUAUUUAUCAAGAAGACAUAAAUAAAUAUACAACUUAUGCCCUGGAUUGCCAUCAAGGUAUAUCAAACCCUAACAUAUAUAAUAGUCUUACUUCACGUGAGAAAUAAUUAAUACUUUGUAUAAUACAUGUUUUCGCAUAUUUGUUUCCAAGUGCGGACAGAAACACACAGAAAACAGAAAUUAAUUGAAGAAACAUAGUUUAUAUGAGAAAUAAGAAAAUUUCACCAAAAGAGGGUUAGAGGACAAAGGCCCGUGACUUGGCGAGUUGCUUGCUUCUUUUGUAUUUUACCAUCUUCUGAUCAAAGUCACGUACGAUUUAUAUAUAUAUAUAUAUAUAUAUAGAAACUUCACAAUUCACAUGUGUGUGUGCCUAUACAUCACUAUUCACAAAAUACGUUGUAUGACAUAUCUCUGUAUAUACGUAGAUUGCUAGCUAGUGUAUAACCAUUAGUAAAAUUAUUUUCGAAAUCAGCAGAAAAUAAAAUAGAAUACAAGCAUUAACUUCUAAAAAUGCAUACGUACAUAUAAAUUAAAUUUAAAAUUUAUGUUGUCGACUGAAAAAUGAUUCUCUGUUUUGUUUUAUUUUAUUUUUGGUGAAUGAUAGCGAAUUUAUGAUUGAUUAGUUUUGUGGUUAGAGGUCUAGAGAAGGUCUCUUAAUUUGCAAGACCCUCGACAACGAAAUUGAUCUUAUAUAUAGUAUUGCGAUGCGUGAAAUGCUUUUUAUUUUAAAGCUAUAUAUAUAUCUAUAUAUAUAUAUAUAUAUAUAUAUAUAUAUGCUUAAAAAGGUUUAAUAUAAUACACGAUUUCCAUAUUUUCUAAUCCACGACAUCAAAAUUUAUUAAAGAAAAAAAAAACACAUAAAAAGUAAUCCAAACGUGACGAUAAAUACAAUAAAAUUUGAAUUUUUUUAACUAGUUAAUGUAUCUAAAGGACAUAGGUGGUUUGCAAAAUGUAAGAAAUACACAAUAUAAAUGUUAUAAACUUCAUGCACAUGGCAAAUCAUACGUUUGAAAACGUAAUAUAAACAAGAUUCACAUAAUCAAUUGUAAAAGGUAUAACAUGGGUACGUAAACACAAAAAAAAAAAAAAGAAGUACAUAUGCAUUUUAAUUAAUAAAAGAAACAGUUGGGGUGUUUUUGUGUGAACGUAACUAAAGCUGUGUGGGUGCAUUAAGGUUUUGAACGUAACGCGAGAGGCAAUCCAAUUAAAUGAACAUGUACGUACCACACACCCAACUUGGAUUGCAAAUCAAGAUUUUAAUUCAAUGAUAGUUUAGUUUGUUUUUGAAGACACGUAUCCAUUAUACAUUUCUCCACUAUCAUUAUAUACUAAAAAAUUAGGGCAUAUGAAUAUGCAUGUACAAAACAUAGUCGUGAAAUUUGAAAUAUAAACCUAUUUUAUCAAAGAAAUAGAAUACCUUGGUUUUUUUUUAAUAAUGUUUGAGUAUUAUUUAUACACAUAGUUGUGUUGAUUGCAAGAAUUAUGAUUAGUUGAUAACCAUAUGAAGGAUUAAGAAAGUGAAUGGUUAUGCCGUUUUUAUUUGUAAGAAAAUAAUCCAAUACUCCAAUUUUAUCGACACGGGAUUAAAUAGUGAAAAAGUGAAAACAAGAUUAUAAAAAAAGAAAAGAAAUAGUUGGUAGAAAAAGGACAUUUAACAAUUAAUAGCCCAACGAGAGCAUAAAGAAAGUUGUGUCGGUGGCUAAAAAUGCUUUAAGCAUGACGUGCCAUUCUCAAGUUUCAGGCAAUUAUUGCUGUCCAUAUAUAUUUUUUAUCUACAUUGCGUGAACAAAUAUAAAGAAAAAAAAAAUUCUACCAAAAAAAAAUAAAAAUAAAGAAAAAAAUCUCAUAAAAAUAAGCAUUUUAUAAUUUAUUAUUGGUUUAUAAAACAAAAAGUGAAAUUAUAUUGAGAAUUUUGUGCUUUAAAAUGGAAAACUUUGAUUGAAUCGAACAAAAAUGGUAUUUGAGUAAUAAUACAAUGAAAAAAAAGAAAAGGGUUUGUAAUAUAUAUAUGGUAAUCAAACAAUUUUUUGUUGGUCGGGUUACAAAGUUUCAGGUUUCGAGAGAUUGGCUCUCAGUAUAAUAGAAAAUUAUUGAUGAUAUCGUCGGAUUAGCGAUGAACAUCUUUGGUAAAUCUCUUCUACAAGUGUUUUAGAAGAAGAGGUAUUUUUGCUUCUUGAGACUAAUGUAUUGUGAAAAGAUUGAGUCUAAUUGUCCUAUCUGUAGUUAAAGGUUCGUCUUCUUUUUAGGUUUAAUUUUUUUUGUUUUGUAUGUGUUUUUUUUUUAUGUUUUUGGGAAUUUCUAUUUGUUCGGCGAUUUUUUUUAUUUUUAUUUGAACUUCAGAUUCUAAAAAAAUAUUUAUUUUCCGCUGGUUUAAGUUGUAUUUAACCAUAUAUCCCCUUUACUUUUAUCAAUAAUAUUAGUUGACAAAAAAAAAAUGGUAAUCAAAAAAAAAAAACAAAAAAAAUCAUCUUCAUUCAUUCAUUUAUUCAACAUCAAAAUUAUAUGAUGAUUAUUAAUAUUAUAUAGUAUAUACAGUACAUAACUUUUGUAAGUAGCGUUGACGAAAAAUAAAAGUCUUUGGCUACAGUUGUUUCGUCUGAGAUCGACGCGGUUCAAGUGCGCGUCGGAUAAUACAGCACUCACUCGAAUAGAUAUGAACAAUCUACUUUUAACGGGCAGACACAAAAAAUAAUUGAAUGGACUUAUUAGCAAAAUCCUAUUUUGGCAUAAAUAUUCGGAUUGAUCUUUAGGAAUAACAAGAAUCUUUGUCACAUUAAUUAAAAAAUCUUGAAACACCAAAACUUAUAUAUAUAUGUUGAUUAGUAUAUAUAUAACCUCAACCUCACACUAAACACCAUACAUUUUAAAUUUUAAUCUGAAUCCAUACAUUUUGCAUAAAACGCUAUACAUACAUCGAAGCCUUUCAAAAUUGGAAAGUUUUCGAACCGAACUCGAUCGAUUGAGUUGUUAUUACCUUAUUAGAUGGCUGCGAUGCUAGACAAAGAGCAAUCUGCGUUUGCUUUGCAUUGAUAACACAACAAAAACAAGUGUCUCCAUGUUUACAACAACUACAUUUUUCUAAAGUACAAUCAAUCACAAUAUCAAUAACAAGAGAGACGCAACCAGAUAUAAAACACGUAGAGCUCUUUGUCGUUCCCGAGACCAAACUUUAUCAGCCUUUUCCAUUCCCAACAUCAAUCGCUGAUCUCACAAAUUGAUCGCAUUGAGUAACUCCUCCGGACAAAACAUCAGCCAAAACACCGACAAUAUCAAAAGCUUCUUGCAGAUCGGUUGCAGAGUUGAUUUCGUCGAGCCACGAGAUCAAUUCCUUGGAGAAACCUACCAAUUCUUUCACAUUCAGCAGUUUCUCUUUCAUUACAAUCUCCCAUGGCUCAAGCUCUGCUCCACUUGAUGUACCUUCUUUCUUGUUUGGUUCUAGGUGGACCGGUUUCUUUGCUUUGAACAACUGUUGAAGCUGUUCUAUCAUACCGGUGUAGACCAGCAUUGGUUUGACAAUAGAGAGAAGUUCAUCUCCGGUUAAGGUUUCUGCGUCUUGAGUUUUGCCUCCUGAACUGGUUGAUUCCGCAGCACGAGAAGCUACCCGACCGUGAGCGUGUUGCAUAAAAGUAUGGUAAAUCCCGCGCUGGAGAAAGACACGACGGUGUUGGAGCCAUGAUUCAUAUGAUUCUGAUAGCAGCGAGUUUACCAUCAUGAACUGAACGGUUUCCUCGGUUCCACUCGAGGAUAGCUGAGAUCCAGGAGUUAAAGGUCGUGAGUCCAAUUGCGGCGUUGUUGCUGUAGAUGAUGAAAUAUAGGAUGAGACAGAUUUAGCCAUGUUGGCGCGUUGCAUGGGGCCUCCUUGAUCGAGAAGAUGACGGGCCAUUUGGAACAUAAACGGCAAGAAACGGGAAUUGCUAUCUCUUCCUCCUCCUCGACAGUCUGCGCUAAAAGAAGCUCCUGUUGCAAACCGAGCCAGCAUCUACAGAGGAAACACAAAUUGUUAGCAAAUACAAAACAAAAAUAACCAAACGGAUUUGAUUAGCUGUUCGGAAUACAGUUUAGAACCAAACUAAAUUUUGACACUUUCGAACCAAACGCCUUCACCAAUUUUUAACUUACCAGGACAAUGUCGUAUGUCAAUAAACGGAGUCUGCUCCCGUCAGCUCUACCAAGAGCAUUGAGAUUAUCCCAGUACUGGUCAACAUAACGGAGAUACUGAGCUAAGGGAACUGAUGGACCCUUGACAGGGAAGAGAGAGUUGCAAAGAGAUUCAUUGUUACGUAACAUAGCUCCUUCCCAUUCUUUCUUCGGGUUUUUAAGAGCAGCAUCUGCUCUUUUCGCCUCUUGAUGACAUUGGAAAUGAAUAAUAUUGAAGUAGCUCACUGUAGUGUAUACGCAUUCACCACGUGCACUUCCAGAAUUGCCAGCACCGAGAUUCACCCGUUUGCUGUAAGAGUAAACUCCUAAUAAAUCAGUAGGUCGGAGCUUGUAGCCUUCUCUGCACACCAUGCAAGCUAAUCCAUCCUCUUCUUCUUCCACAUCAUCAAAACCUUCCAGGAUUGGUUGAGAAACCACAAUCCUUUCACCACCAUCAGAAGAUAGCUCUUGACGCAUUCCAAGUCCCUGUUACAAAAGAGAGAGUUGGUAAAAAUUGUCACAAGACCAGAUUACACAAUUAGUUUCCUUGCGUGAGGAUCAUCAUUAAAAUUACCUGUAGGAGCUCCUCUCUCUUUCUUAGUGCACGGCGUCUCAUUUCAUCUUUGGUGGCAUCUCGUAAUGCACGGACUUUCUCUCCAAGAAACCCAUCUCCUUUUCCUUCUUUAUCGGCGAGUGUGUCUAGCAAAUUUUCAGCCCUUGCACCAAUCUCGUUUUCCCCAGAGACUCCUUCUAAGGCAUGAAGUAAGGAUAGAAUUCCUCCCUCGUCUAUGCAUGUUUGUGUAGGCAAAUGUCCCAUCGAUAAUCCUCUUAGCAUUGACAAAAUAAGAGGUACUGAGGGAAGUUUAAGAGCCGAAAGCCAUUCCUUGCUAGAUUUGAACCCAGCCUGUCCUGUGACAGCGAAAAUUUCCUUGAUGUGUUUGACAGCAACAGCUAUGAUACCGUUCUCCAAAACUAUGUCUUUUAACCUCUCUCCGCAUGAACUUGUCUUGAGAGAUUCUGAAACUCUUACAAAAUUCUCCACAGUAAAUCUCUGUUUUGCUGCUUGUUGAGCAAUGCUGUCGUCCUUGGGGUUCUCCUCAUGACGUUGCUGAAGCAGAUCAAAUUCAGACCAGUUUUGCAGGUAAGGGCUAAAAUGCUCUAUGAGUGCUUCCAUCGCUGCAGGCUCACCAUAUGUUAAGUAAGGCAAGAUUCUAGCAACCAUCUCUGUGUUUCUUUGCUGUUUGUUCGAUUUCUUAAGCCCUGAAGGAUGGCUCAGCCUUUCUAAGAACAUAAGCACUAUUUUCUUGGCCUGUUCCCAAGUUCCAGUUUCCUCGGUACUGACAGUCAAAGCACUUUGUGUGGCGCUGAUGCUGUCACUUUCAUUUGCUUCAAGCGUCAAACUCUCGACAAUUAAGAGAAUGCCUUCAGCUGGCUCCAUAGCAUCCACAGAAAAAGCCCUCCUAGCUGUUUCAAGAAGUAAGCUUAAUGCCCCUAGUCUGAGUAGAGCGCGCCUGUUCUCUCUAAUCUUGCAGCAAUGGUUUAGGAGAUCAAGAACUGCAACCAUCUCUUCUUGGUUGGAUUUGAAGUCAUCUCGUAAACUCUGCAACGUGAUCAAUAAAUAUUAGAUUUAUCUUAAAAAGCCACUUUAGUAAUAUAACAAUUCCUCUUCACGCUGUAUCUAAAAGUGCACUAAGAAACUAAGGUCAAACAAGUGUAAGCAUACAGAAAAAGUGGGAGAAUCCCAAUUUCAUUUUAUGGUUUAAGAAGCUUACCUUGAUCAUUUCCAGUAAAAUUUCUAGACCACCAUAUUCACGAACUGCACCUGCUAUUGCAAAUUCAAUCUCUGGAUCUUGGGAUUCUUCUCUAUCUUCUUCCAAUUCCUUAAUCAUAGGCUCAGUAGCUUCACCAUCUAGCCCCUGCCAAUAUUUUUUAGAGCUUAUAAUAAAAAAAGAAACAUGAAAUAACUAGUUCUUUAUUUUUUUUCAUUUUGGGGGUGGGAAAGUAAGUUAGGGUGAGCAAACCCAUCUUUGGCCUAGCUCUUCACCAGAAAAGGGUCACAAACCUGAAGUCUGUAUGUCACCGUCAUGGGAGGACAAUCCCUGCUGGGAGCUGCAUUUGAAGCUAACAGUGCAGAGUUGGUCAGUGAAGUAGAAGACUGAUUUGAUUUUUUCCAAACCAGCUCAUAAACUUGAGCUAUACUCAGGUCUAGUGAAAUGAUGUUUCCUGCUACAAGCAACUCCAUGCCAUAGUCAUCUUCCAGUAGACCUAACAGGUCCAACUGCUGACAAAUCUUGUUUUUAACAUCCCGCAUCAGUGGGCCGAUCUCAGAACUCGAAUAUGGAUUUUUCGUCAUUGAUCCCCGGAUAAACUCCUCUUGAGUGUGUGACUUAUUCAAGAUCAGCAUAUAUACAGCCUCGGGUUUUGAUGGGCAGAUCAAAUUACAAAGCUGCUCAAGAAUAAACUGCAAAUACAAUUGAAAUGGUCAAAACACUAGUCAAUGAUAUAUGUUAAUUAUAACAAAAUAAAUUUUUAAUAACUUGAAGUGAUCUUUAAUUAGAAUUAUAGAAAAUCUCCAGAGACUGUUAAGUGAUGAAUAUCUCCAAAAAGAAUAUUUUGAAGAUGUUACAGUGGUCAGAAUGAUAAUUCUUCUUACCAAACAGGUACGUCCUUUUUUUUCUUGUGCAUGGGUUUGCAGUCCAGAAACACAGGCACGGAUGAAUUGUCGUUUAUUUUCACUGCUUUCAAGCAGAAGUCCGUCAAGAAGAUCUUUUAGGAGUCUGUUGCAAUCAUUUAUAAGCUUUGUCUUUUGCACUAUUAAGCCACGGAUUACAAUGAGGGCCUCCAGAACAUGAGACAGCAAAUUGUCUCUCAUGAAUCUGCCACACUCAAAACCUUAGACAGGUAUGAAGAAGUCAAUGUAAGAUACAAUAGAUUUAACAAUGAUAAAUAUACCUGGAACGAAUAUUUGGAACCUCUAAGAACUUUCCAAGAAGUUCUAGGAGCUUGUGGAGGGUAAAUCCCUGUGAAAUGUCUAUCUGAAGACUCCUUUCUAGAGAUUCAAUGUUUCCCACCUCCUGGGAGAUCAAUUUGCAGAUUGUUGUCAGACAACCCCGAACAGUUAAGAACAAAAGUGCAUCUUGUGCCUCUAUCAUUUUGAAGAGCAGUUCAAAGUAUUCUGCGCUACUUUCACCCGCUGCAAGCGUAGCGGGAAGCAAGCCUAUCAGCAAAUUGAUCAGCCUGUAGCGCCUAGGUGAGCUUUGGGCAGAGAGUAAACUAAUCAGCGUGCACAUCUCUGACCUGAUAGAUUGAGAACAUGCACUAAGAAUAAGCUCCGUGACCCAAGAUCCGAGCUCAAAUGCCUGUAAACCACCUUUGGAUGUCCUGCUAGAGCGUCGCUUCCACCUAAGUGUAUAUUUAAGUGCCAGGAAAUCUGAUCUGUGUGUUCUCGACUUUUGGUUACCACUUCUAAUUGACUGAGAGGCUUUGUAUUGCCUCCUCACAAAGUCGAGAUAUGACGCCCCUUUCUCCCAUUCCAAAUAACUCACAAGCUGAAUAUCUCGUGUCUUCUGAGACACAUCCAAGUUAUUUUCUUCACUUUCUGACGAAUACUUUAUGAUGCCAGCAACAUUCUCAUCCUUUCCUUGCACCGCAGGAGCAGAUUUUCCCAUUGUUAGCUCUUUCUCUGCCGUAUCUGGUUUUGGAGGUGUACAUGCCACAGAAAUUAUCUUAAGGCACGGAAGAAUUAUGUGCUCUGAUAUCGCAGGAUGUUUAGCACCUAAUUUAAUGGAAGAAAAUAGUAGCUGAAAAACAAGGCGCAGUCUUGACUCCCAGAAUUCAUCAGUGAGAGAGCAUACUUCUGAAAGCAACAACAUCUCCUCACGAGUGGCAAGCGCAAUGUCCAUGGAGCGAUGAUGUUCAAGGCAGUACAUUAUUUUCUUCUGUACCAGAUUGUUUAAAUCAUUCACGGCAUUCAGAUCACCCUCCGAGAAAGUAGAAAGAGCUGCUCUGGCUUGAGCACGAGCUGUUUUCGGACCCUCGUGAAUAUUGUUUUCAAACAACUCAGACAAAAUACCAGCUGCAACAAGUUGUUUCCUAGAUCUAGGAUGCUUCGACAGCACUUGAAGAAUCUCAAGACAUUGAGUGACAAAUGUAGAGGCACAACCAUAACAAUUGUUUGGGGUCUUUGAGACCACACAUCUUGAGGCACCUGAUGAAAAAUUUGAAUUUUUCUGAUGGAGGUAGCUCAUCAAAACUCUACGAAGCCCCUGCAGUGUUUGUACACUUUUGCUGACAGAAUCAAAAGCAGCUUUGCACUUCUCACCAUAUAAUACACCCAAAAGUGCGAUUUUCCGGUUUAUCUUGCAUGAGGGACCAGGUAAAGAUGCCAUCAUUUGUUGGACAGUGUCCUUGUGCUGUGAAUCCAUUUCCGUUUCACCAAUGCUUGAUACUAUCUUCAGAAGCGGCUUCUUGAAGCCCAGGAGCUGCUGAUAUCUCCUGUGAGCGUUUUCCGACUCAGACUCUAUGGCAGCCAAUCCCUUCUUCAUAUCUUCGUCAUUUUCCAUAUUAUCAAAUAUGAAGCUUGGUUUUGCCAUGAAGUUAAACUCAAACCUCCCAUACUUGCUAUAACCACACUCGUUGCAAAGGAAAGAAUCCAAAUUUUCAUAGUUUAUGUUACGGCAUUGCCUGCACUGAUAAGCAUUCUCAUGGCAAUUGCUGCAAAUACCAUGUUUAUCAGUAACAGGUCGACUGCAUCGGGGGCAUUGCAAUGGUUCAAGAGAUAACGCCUGAAGAUUCUCAUAGAAGGAAUCCAACUCGAUCAUGAAGUUACAGGCAGUAAUAGGAAUAGGAAAUUCCACCUUCAGUUCAGUUUGGUUAAAAGACAGAUGGCAACUUUUGGCACGCUUCCACAGUGACCAGUUGUUUUUAAGCUCUGAUAAAUCCGAGACAGGGCGAUUGUUGUAAUACAAGUUUAGGACCUUCACCGACUUUGACUUUCGUGCAUCAUGAACAUUCAUGGUCACAGAUUGUAUCGUAUAACUACCAGUACAUUUCACAAUGAUGCGGUUAUCAGUAAACUUUGUCUCAGAUUUCAAACUUUCAAGCUUCAUUUUGCUAUAUGGCACAUCAGGAGAACUGCAGGCAACACAGGGUUCACUCUCGAGAUAAUAACCAUCAAAUUCCACAAGAUUACCCAGAGUGCUGUAUAUACGGGAGUUUGGAUGAUUGGCAAUGAGCUCAUUUUGAGAAUGCAGCGUCUCAAAAAAGCACCUUAUAACAUCAGUAUUCAGGCAACGAUCUACAAGCUCGUUAGUCGCUUGCUUUGAGUUGUUUUCUGGAGCCUUGCCGAGUAACAAAGAGACAAGUUCAGUGUACUCGACAAUAUUCUGACCAUAUGCUGGCAGGUAUCUAACCUUCUGCAAAAGAGCUGCUAACAUACUUUCUUUGAACGAGUAUCUUCCAUGAUACCACAAGCCAUAUAUAACAGACUUUGCUUCAGUACGAACAGAGCUGGAAUUCCAUUCCAGAAGAAAGAAAUCAAUAAACUGUGUCAAGAGAUCUCCGCCCUUGGCACUGAAGAUAUCUACCACCCCUUCCAUAUCCACGUAUGAUUUGUCCACACCAGAAUCAUUCCCAUCUUCACCUUUUUUCUUCUUUUUUGAAUCCACAGACUGAGAUCCUGAUCUGUUUGAGCCUGUCCCUACAUCUGCUGCUUCAGCUUUCUGCGCUGAGCUGCUCACAUCUUUUCCUUGAUAAAAGGCCAAAUUAAGGAGUUUAAGUGUCUGGAUAACCGACUCUUCUGCAAAAUGGAAUACGCCAUUCAGUAAGAAGGACAGAAAAUCUCCAUGCCUGAGACAGUACUUCUGCCAGUUUCGAGGCCGCGCCAAAGCAACUUCAGCAAUUGUAGAAAGUGACUUCACAAUCUUUACACUCCUUUCAUAUGAAACAUUGUUUUCAAAACCACCAGACUUUUCAACAUGCUUGUAUAGAUUUUUCACUUCAUUGGAAAACUGCCACGAAUCUCGGACACUGUAGUAUUGAGUUUUGCUUCCACAAAGAUGCAAAAAUAGCCUUCUAGCAUAUCUCCUAACAAAAGCUGUAUGAGGGUUAUUAAUAUAGCUGCACAGAACAUCCUGGAAACCGUCCAGCUUCAAAUCUCUAGAAGAAGUAUUCCUGUAAACCUUUUCCUUUUCUCCCAUUUUCUCUUGUUUUUCAGGUCUAACCAAGGUAUAAACUAAGCGAAACACAUUCUCAAGUAGCAGUCUGUGAUAGUCCACAAAUAUAUCUGCUCUAUGGGCUUUUGCAUAUGAAUCCGAAAAGAAGGGAGAAUAGUUACCAGCAGGUAAAUCCCUUCUGACUGUGAGCAUGGCUCCACAACCAGAACCAGAGCUUGAUCCACGUGCUUCAACAUUUGCAGCACGGGACUUAAAAACAUGCACUAGUUGCUGAAGUAUGUUCAUUAGAUAAUUAACAAACUCUUGAUUCCUGAGCAAACUGCAUGCGCGAACUAGCUGAGACGCAAAGUCAUCUCUCUCUUGAACAUCUAAAGAAGACUGAGAAGCAACUACAGUGGAGCUCUGGAUACCCCUUCGGUCAUGUAGAUCAGUAUUUCCACCUAAUCGGGAGCUACUACCAUCACUACCAGGCUGCUGCCAACUCCGAAGCAUCAAGGUGAAAAACAUAAACACAAGAAUAACAAUUUCUCCGAAGUAAGAGCGAGUUGAAGCAGCAAACGGCUUGGUGAAAUUAAUUUGAUCCAAUAGCCAUUUAAUUAACUUUUCCAAGCUUAUUUCUUCAGGCUUUGAGCUGUCCAUAAAGGCUCCACCAAUGGCAGAUGAUAAUCUGUAGAACAAUUGCAUGACAGGAAUAGCUUGAACACCAGAUACUUUCUCCAUCCAUCCACCCAACUCUUGGAGAAACUCAGAGAGAAUUAAAGAAUUUACUGCACGCUUUGAGGCUGAGAUGGAAACAGGAUCGGUCACUGAAGCAGAAAAAUCAGUAGAUUCACCAGGUUCCAAGACAUGGAUUGAUGGAGUUGAAGCUUGUGGGACGCUACUGGUUACUAUUGUCGGUGACAUAUUUGAAAUACCUACUUCAUCCGCAGAGAACUGAAUCUCAUUGGUGUCUGCACCAAGCGACUCCACUUCUAUUGGCAGUGCUGUCAUGGGAUGAUCUCGAGUGUGUGGUGGUGGUAGACGAUCUGCAUCUAACACUUCAUAGCAUGCCUCACAUAAAUCAAAAUCUGGACAAACGGUGCAGUGCCACCUUCUUCGCAGGAUAGGGACGGUGGAGCAGCCAUCACAGCAGUAUUGAACAGAUGAAGUUAUAGAGUCCUCCUCAAUCAUGACAUGCGUAUUUCCACCAGCUGUUCUGACAGGCACCGAAGGAGUUGUUAUAUUGUCUACCAAAUCAUCUGUUGUCAAGAUUGUUUGCUUUGGGAAAGGAACCUGAAGUAGUCUUGAUGAUAUGGCUAAGCUGUAAUGAAAUUAAGUUAGAAGACUGGUCCAUACCUAAAAGAACAGAGUAUAGAAACCAUACACAAGAACACACCUGCUGGAUGUUUGCACAGACUCAUUGGGAAACAAUAUAAGUGCUUUCAGUAGCUGAACUGCAGGGGCUACAGAAUGAACCCCGGUAUCCUUUCCUUGAGAUGCCAAACACUCUGCAUAGCUAUAGAUUAGCUCAACAGAGGACAUAACGAUGUUGUUCAUAGUAGGUGUGUCGAGUGGCUCCGACUCCAAAAUUCCCCAUAGCACUUGCAUCAGAUUGUCUACCACUUCAGAGCCUACAGAACAAACAUAUCUCACAUAAACAAAGCUAUAUGAAAGACGAUAAUUGUACGGAAAACAGCUGCUCCUGUUAUGUAUUACAAGGAUAAUAGAAAAAAAAUUGUGUUUGACUACACAUUGAAAAAGAAGACUGUAGAUAAUAAAAGAAAGCACAUAUACCAUUCAUCUCCAGAAAGACGGAGAAAUUUGAUUUACGGGUCAAAGCUAUUUUAGACACCGCCCGCAUCUGAGCAUUGAACUCUUCAACAAUUGAGCCUCCAGUACCAGAAAUGCCCAACCUCGAAGAAAUGAUAGAGGUCACCUUGACCACUCCAAGAAGUCGCAUGGUGUCUUUGACCUAUAAUAGCAGAUAUAUCAAUGCCAAAGAUAACAUAAAAAUUUCAUGUAUAUCAGUUCAGAAAGAGCAACUGAACAUGCUAGACUGGAUGUGGUAGGAGCAUUACCUGGUAGUAUAUCUCCUUUCUUGGGAAGACAGACUGCAAGACACGGCAAGCUGCAUUUUGCAACAGGGUUUCCCUAUCACUUUCGAAAAUGGUCUCCAGUAGCUGUUUGCAUUUGAGUUCGCUAAGCUCUACUUCUUGCUUUGGCUUACAAGCUGAAUAAAAGAUUGAUAGGAGUUUAAGACCAUCGGCGAUAACUUGCUCCUCAAUAGAAGCAGACUGUGCCAACGCUCUCUUUUUACUAGAGCCUGGAAGAAUCAAACCAUGACCAAGCACACGAGCUUCCAUAUCUAGCACAGCAUCCAUUUUCUCUUUCCAGCCAAACUCAUCUUUAGCUCGACCGUAUACUUCAAGCGAGUCUAUUCUGGGAAGUGCAGUCCCACUAGUAGUUGGCCCGACAGAGAUUACAACAUCUUCAUCAGCUAGAAGUGACUCAGCCACUGUGAAUGGGAUGUCAUACCAGCACCUCAUGCCUUCAUCCAUCUUAAUCGUUCUCUGAAAAAUGGUCACUUCUGAAGGUAUAGAGCUUGAUGAUGUAGUACCAACAUGCAUCCGGAUGCCAACCAUAACAAUGUCCGGGUUUGGAUUGGAGACAGAUAUCUGAAAGAGAGAAGGUUAGAUUACUGGACACAAACACCUUGUAUAACAUAAUCACACCGGGAAAAUACUCUUAAGAGUAAUAAUCAAGUACACAGAUAAACUUAUCAAGAAAAAAUAUUGGAGAAAUCCAACCAUACCUUGAAACCCAAGGGACUGGGGCUCUCAAUAAAGCCAUCCUCAGAUGCCAAGCUCUGUUUUGCUCCCUCGGAAUCACCAUUUCUAAUAGCAUCACUACUAAAUCUCACAUCUGCUGUAAUGCAAAAUGCCUUCUCGAAGAAAUCCAGGGGAAACUCCGGCUUUGCACCAGCAUAGGCUUUGUUGUUAAGUAUCUUAGAACCCAAUUUUUUAACUUUUUCAGCAGUGAAAUUUGAGUCAGUAUCAACUCCACUCCGAACAUGAGAAUAAAUUUGAAGGCUGCCAUCAUCAUGCAGAACAAGACAGUGAAUAUUGUCUUUUGACAGAGGUUUGUAUGCGGUAAUUCCGACCAUAGGGGAAGAUGAUCCAGUCGGAUGACGGAGAUUCUGUGCACAUACCCCAUCACCCCUCAAGGACACAGCUAAGGCAGCAUUUGACUUCAAGCUGGAGAAGCAAAUAAACAAUCCACUGCCAGCCAACAACUCUUUCCAACGAUGCAAUCCAGCCACCCUCUGUUUACAAUCUGGUUCUUCCUCAAACAUGCCAGAUGUCUCAGUUAAGGAUGUUGCGUCUGAGCUGAGUCGACCCAUAAAAGAACUCCCGUUAUGAUAGGAUAUAAAAAGCAGUCGAUAUGUUGGAGAGAAAUAGACGGAUGAACCCUUUCCGGUAACAUCCUUCCCCAUAAUCUGAACGAUUUCCUUAAGUGGCGUUGCACCUGCAUUACCGCCCCAAGAUAGUUCAAACCUGUACAAAUUCCCUUGUUCUGAAAGAACAAGAAGGAAAACCCUCCCACGAGAAGCAACAAAAAGAGUAGCAUCCACAAUCAUGUCAUUUGGCAAGGUGAAGUACUGUGUUGGACUGAUGCUGUCCUGGGAUAGAUCAUAAAUCUUCACGAAUUUGUUUGUAACGACCAUUAACUGAACCUGUGAACCAGGAACCCAGUCUAUACGCCUGAUGUAUGCACCCUGCAGGGCAAGCUCGACAGCAAGCCUAUCAAUGACUUCACCUCGAUGAUUCAACGUAAGUAUCUGGCAAUCUCCAAGGCCUGCGACAGCAAGAUAAUUCUCCACCACUGGGUUGAAUGCUAAAUGCACUAUCUCAAAACGAACAAUAUUCCUGGAAAGUGGUUUAACAUUGGCCUUGUCUGCAUUAAUAGGUGCAAUUGUGGCUUGUCCUAUUAGCUGUCCAACAUCAAAUAUAGCAACUUUAUCACCUUCUCCAACCGCAAGGCGACCCCGAACACUAACACUCAGAAGAGACUUGACAAGGGAACCAUUGGCUAAAAAAGAUUUAAGGUCCUUUGAAUUCGCAUAAUCAGCCUUUAUUUUUAAGUCCAGGGACCCACUUUUAUAUGCUUUUUUCAGCUGCAAAAGAUCUGUCUCAAACGAAAGAACUUUGUCUUUCCCAAGAUUGACCUGCUUAUCUUUCGAAAGGCCAGAGUCUCUUUUACUAGUAAUAGAUGGAAGCAAAGAAGAGAAAAGCUCCAGCACUCGGUCCUCUAUGCCGAGUUCUUCUAGUAGCAGUGACAUCUUAUAUUGAGUUUCUUUAGGGAUAGAUAACACAACGUGAUUUUCCUCCCCAGAACCAUCUUCUUCCACAUCUGAAUCGCUUUCUGCAAGCUGCUCUGCAUCCUCCGACAAGGGUAAAAAGGAUUGAAAAUUAUUUGUACUACGAGCUGGAGCGCUUCCAAUGUCGUUAAAUUUGCGUGGCUUCAAGCACUGACAGCUGCUUCCCCUAACACCUCCUGCUCCACAGUCACAGAAAAACCGACUCGAUCUUGAAUAGACAACACGGUGACCUCGGUGGCAAACUUUUGCGCAAACAGAACAGCAACCUUUGGACACAGUAAGGUCACAGGUGUAACAAAAAUACCAAUGCUGUUCCAUGAAAUUACUGCCACUGGAAGUAAAAGUGCAGACUUUUGAGGCAAGGUACCUCUCACUGUUGGCAUCUUCUUCAUCUUCCUUGUCUAGGCUGGCCAUUUCACCAUCAGAUGUUCCAUCAUCUUCAUCUUCAUCGACAGAAGUGACAUCGCACUCAAGUGAUAUUGCACUUCCUUCCUGAUCUACGGGGAGAGCCAAUGUGUCAGAUUUUUUCAUUGUUCCUGAGAAUUUUGGGACCAAGGGACCUGUUGCAGUAUUUUUAUUGCUUGCCAAGGCCUGUCCAUAUGUACUCUCUCCAUGACUUGGAGAACGGUUGCUCAACAAGGUGCCUAUCACACCAAAAAGAAAUUUCAAACCAGGCAGCAACUUCUCAUCAGCAGCAAGCUUCUCCAUCAGCAUUAUGGUUCUCUUUAGAACCAUCUUCAUCAGGUUGUCUUCCCUUGCAAGUUGAAGAACAAAAUGAAAAUAUGACAUAGCCAUAUGGGUAUCAAACGAGAGAAAUGCGGUAUCAAGGGAGAUCAACAUGGCCUCAAAUAAAUGAUUUUGUAACUCUCUGGUCUGUAGGUCGUUAGUAGAUGACACAAGACAAUUAAUAAAAUUCAUUGCUGCCUCUCUGAAAGGAAGAGAAUUCCCUUUUGCAGUCUUUUUCCCAUCUAUUUCCUCAAUGAAGGAACCCAACAGUCUUCUCUCCAACCACACAGAUAAAGUUUUCAAAUCCAUGUCAAGAAACUUUUGUUGUACUCUUCUCCUGAGAUCGGGGGAUGGAGCCACAGACAAGAGGUCAACAAGGAAGUUGAGUACUUUUAUGUUAACUGGUUCCAAGGAACAGUAGUCCAAUGAGUCAAUAAAAACAGAGAGAUCUCCACGUCGCAACUGAUAGAAUUCCCUGGUAGGCUCAGAGACUGCAUCUACACCGAGAUAAAAUUUGAAAAUAUCCGAUUUUGAAGAAUCCUUGCUUAGACUGUCCAUAACAUCUACAAUCUUGGUGAUCACCCCCUCAAGUACAUGGCUUCUAUCUAUCUGCUCAGCACUGAUAUCUCUUACAAACCCCUCCAUGUCUUUCAUCAGGAACAACUCCGUCAAAUCUGGAAGCUGCAUCGCGGCACAUAUAUUUUGACAGAUUUCCUCACAUUUCCCAUGAAAGUUUUCGAAUACCUGAUCAAACUUAAUAAUCAUGAUGGAAUCAAGUAUCUGAUGAAGUACACAAGUAUCUGCCCCAAACUUCUCCUUUGAGUUGCCCAGCUUGAGUAAGCCAUCUAUUGUCAGCACAAUGCACCUUAUGCUUAGAAUACAUGAAAGAAGAAUCGCACUAGAAGUUUGAAGACUAGUGGGAAAUCCAUGUACCAUAAAUUCCCAAAACACUUUCCAUAUAACACCCGAACCUCUUCCAUCACCCAGAGAAUCCAGUUUUGACAGAUAAAAAAUGCAUUGAAGAUGGAGGGAAUUGUCCCCAAUCUUCGCAUAUUCACCUUGCAGACUUUUACCAAAUUGAGUAUGCUUGAGAAGUAGCAGAGAAGGCGAACUAUGACCAUGAUGAUUCCAAGCGCUGAAAGUUGCAAGGAAAGCUUCCUUAUACACUCGUAAAUAUUUGCUAACCAAUGAUGAAAGCAUUCUCAGCAGUUCUGUUAUACCACCGGUCUCCAUCAAGUAAGAGACUACACCUUCUGCAGCAGCAACAUAAUUGGCGUCAACAGAUGUGCACUCCCUCCAGAAGGGAUCGAUUUCUGAACGUGAAUGGUUCUUGCAAUAACCCCAGACGCCACCAUUAAGAAAGUACAACAGAAGGGAGAGCCACGAUCCUUCGCGGAUAAACUCCCAACCCAAAUCCUCAACCACCUGCUCAGGUGAUGCCUGGAGCUGACUUAAAACACCGAACAGAAUGUUUCUCAACUCGAAAUUCUUACCAACAACAUUGAUGUCGCCUACAAGCAAAUGACUGGUGCAGAUGAGAUCCACAGAGCUCGAUAUAUCCAAUUUCUGGAAAUUAACAUGCAAGGAAGGCUGACUAUCUAAUGCACUGUUAAUACGAGCAAUAUCCCAAGAAAGUAAGAAAAUGUAUCUUUCCACUAUUAGGUCUUCCACUUUUACUGCCUUUUUCCCCUUCCAUAGCCCCAAAACCCAGGACAAACUUGCAGAUAAAUCUCCAUAAUCCAGGUUUAGGAUUUUGGCAGCAGACACAUCAUUCUGAAAUGUAGGAGGAUGUGGGGAAAAGUCAAUCAUUUGACUCAUCAGAUGGCUGAGUGACUCCUCUUCAGCCCAUGAAUCAGUUAUCCCCCUUGCUACAAGAGAUGCCCAAGAAGAUAAAUGAUCACCAACGGUUACAUGCAAAUUACUACCACAGCUACGAACUUCCCUCAAUUUAGAUCUUAGAUCUAGCAUUAAUGAUGUUGGGCAUGUGUUUGGAUGUAACAACAUAUGGUGCAACAGAACUAACAACCGAGAUAUCAGUAUGGCCCAACAGGACAGCUGGGGACCAUCACAUAUUCCUGACGGGGUCUCAACUUUAUGCAGACACGAAACAAUAAGAUUUGAGAAUUUUGCCUUCUCUGCUUCACUUGAUAAAUGGAAAGCCAUAAGAAGAAUCUCAAUAUGGAAAGCAGAGGGAAGACAUGCAGUCAACUCCUUGAGACUCAAAACUUCAGCACAUAUACUUCUUGCUCUGUCAGCAAUAAAAGUAACGAAACCCUCAUAAACUUUGGCUCUCAAUUGUACCCCAGCCAAGCCCGGCCUACAAAGAAGAGUGUGAGCCAACAACGCCAAAGUCUUAUCAUUAUAGUUGAGGUCACUAUUUUCAACAACAAGAAUUUUCUGAAAAAGGUAGGACUCAAGAGAUUCAGACAGAGAACGACUUCUUAAGAGAUUGAGUAACAGCUCAAAGGCAACAUGUCCAGGUUUUCCCUCAUCUUGGAGCAUGCAACCAACAUCAGAAGCCUUGUCUUCAAUACUACAGCCUACAAUGUUGAGCAGGAUAUCAAUGUGACCAGCGUCAAGCUUUUUACAUCCAUCUUCGUAUAUACUAGGAACCCAUUCUUGACAAAAAAUGCAAGUUCGAAGAAAAUUCAACAGUUCCUUAGCAGCUUGCAAUGGUAAAUUGCUGCUGACAGAAACAGGUGGUUGAUCAUUUGGUUCUACGGAACACAGAGAACGGCUACCCUCAGAAAACAAGUUUCCAAACAGGGCUUCAUCGUCAUGAGAAAUUUGGCUUUCGACUUCCGCAAAACUGUUGGAUCUUAAACUGGAAUAUGUCCUUUCCACUUUUGGUCGUAACUUUACACCUUCGCGAUGGAGGAAAUAAACAAGAUGGAAGAAGUUACCCAGCCAAUGACUUGAUGAAGGAAAUAUCAGUCUCAUUAUAUCCUCGACCGCGAAGCACUUGAGCAAUGGGAUCUUUUCCUGUCUCAGAUGGAAAUAAACAGAAUCAGCAGAGGAAUUGGUAUUGUCAUACGUGACUUCUGACUCUAAAAUCCUCAGAUCUUGGAUAUGGAAUGGUUGUCUUUUCAGAUCUUGAAUGAGUUUCAAUGUGUACAUGACAGACCGAGGGAAGUAAGCAAGUGGAGGGGUCAAAUUACAAGAGGACGCAUCAUAUCUCCACAUUGAGGCAUCUAGAUUGUUCAGAAUAGAAACUGACACACAUGCCUGGACAUUCUGAAAAACACUGCUCUUGCCAAAAAUGAGUUGGAUGAGAUUAAGAAAUCCCUCCAGCAGCGCAAGAGAAAGACUCUCAAUAUUACCCUCUGUAGCAGUGUGGUUAGUGAAUUCAGAAAAAACCCUAAACAGCUUAGGAAACGUAUCCGUAAAUGAAGCUACUGCCUGUAACAAUGAACAAUCGUUUUCAAUACUUUGAACAUCUUUGGAAAGACUUCCAAGCAGCUUCAAAAUUCUUAAGCAGAAGGACAAUUUAUCAAGGAAAGCUUGAUCAACCGUCUUUUCAUCCAACACACUUGGCAAUUGAACAAGCUCGUUGCAGACCAUAAUCAGACGACAAACACAGCCAAGGUGAACAACAGCCAGGUGUCGAGUCAAGGGGUUCAGGUUUCCACAGUCUUGUUGAAAAGAGGGCUUUACAACUGAAUGCGCUUGGGCAUCAGAUUCAAUGCAUUCAGACAUCAGCGUAAUAAGAAGCCGGUCAACUGGCUUCUCUUCAUUUGAGCAUCUGCCCCCUGCUUGACAUGCCAAAUGAUGUAACGGUAAUCAGAUAAAUUUUAAGUAAGAAAAGAAAAUUGCUGAGUGAUUGGUAGUUAAUACCUUGAAAAGUACAUUUCACAAGGUUAUAGAAUUCCAUAUUAUCAUGCUCGCCAGAAAAUGCUGGCCAUAGUUCUGCAACUUCUGCGGGAGAUACAGCUGGCAGGAUAUUAUACUGCUUCUCACUUCCAUCAAAAGAAGCUAUUUCCAAAAGUACUUCCAUGUUUAUCUGAUUCAAGCAAGCAUUGGAGAGAUUACUAAUGCUAUCAAGCUUGAUAGAAACACAGUAAGGAAGAGUUUGAAAUGGAAGUUGAUUGUAAUUCUACUAUAGCCCUCACUAGAAAAGUUAAAACGAAACAUGUUGGUGAGCAUAUGUGACUAAUGUAUAUGGUGCAACAAUGAAACCUAACCACUCAUCAAAAACCUGAUAAAGACUUACAAAACGAGUUCAAAACGCCUCAUCAAAAAAACUAAAUAUAUAUACAAAUACAGACAAAUAAAUUCUCUAGAAGGUAAAGAAUGACACUGAUCAAAAUAAAGAACGAACCUCAAUUUUAAGAUCAUUUUGUGUAAAAUUUGACUUCUCCAAGAAGCUGAGGGAGAACUCCAUCACCUCCUGGAUGACACCCAAAACUAUUGGUUCGAGUUGGUCCACUGAGAUACAACAAAAAAGAAAAAGAAAAAAAAAAAACAGUAAGGAAAAUGAUUCGAGGUCCCUAAUCACUGUUUACUGCUUCAUCUGGAGAAUAAACAAGUAAAGGGUAGCACAAGAAAGAAGCAAAUCUAUCAAAGCUCAGCUCAGAAAGUGAGAGAAUGACUAUAAUCAAACAAUCGGCAAGCAGAUUCAUAGAGACCAAAACCUUGAUUGAAACUAAUAAGUGUCAAGUCAGUACCUAAUAGAGAUCGCGAUAAUAGAAGAAUCGCCUGGGAAAUCGAGACAAGUGCUUGAACUUGCGAAUCGGACCAGGUCUGAAAGCGUAGCAUGCCGGAGGAAUCAUCAUCUCCGCCGAUCGGAGCGAUACCCGAGCGAAGGAGGAGGUAGAAAGAACGGAGACCGCGUUUGAUCGAAUCAUCGGAGUGUAAACGGCGAGAAAAGAGAUCUGAAGAAGCCGAAGACGACAGAGAGGGGAAGGCGGUGUCGUCGAAGAGAAAUCGGCAGAGAUUCGCCAAGUCAUCUGCCAUUUCUGGCGAAGCCAAAUAGAAGAGUGGAACAACGAGGAAAAGGUUUCUUGUAUAGAUAGAUAUAUACAGAAAUGGGGAAGAAGGUAAAAGGGUUUAUCAUAAGCAGCGAGAGUAUCAAAGGCGGUGAAAAGAGGACUCUCUUCUCUAGAGAAGGAAGACGAUGUUCCUUCUUCUUCGUUUUCCUUAUUCUUUACUUUCAAAAUCAGACAAUAAUAAUAUUUAGAAAUUUCCUUUAUUAUUUAACACUUAAUUAAAUCUAUCUAUAAUUCGUUAAAAAAAACUAUAGUUGUUUUAAUUAAAUAAUACUUUUACAAAAAAAAGAAAUAAUAAUACGUAGAAAAUACGAAUUGCAGUAUUCUUAUUGGUCCAGCAUUUGAAAUACAUUUUUUUUUAUUAUCAGUGAUUUUAAUUUUGUAUAAUUAACAGAGAUUUAAUGGAUGAAGAAACAAAAACAAACAUUUUAGGAAGCCCAAAAGGGCACCAAUGUAUGUGUUCACAUAUUAUAAACCUCCCAAUUAGCAGAUGAGUUAAAGAUACACAAUCUGUUUUUAUCCUCUCUCAAUUUUAUUCAUAAGAUUCAUUUGACCUCACAAGUGUGUGUGUUAAACUGUCAAUAGAUAAGAAAUUUUUAUAAGAUCUGUGACAUAUAACCAAAGUAUAUCUCAGAUGCAAAUAAAUCAUUAUGUACAUCACCACUUUUCUUCACUAUGAUAGAAUAAAACGCAAGAUGUUUUCUUUUAGGUUUUCUACACAAAAAGUAAUUCAACUAAUAGAUUAGUGACAAGUGAGAUAUCAUACAAGAAGAUAUUAACUACAGUAAACAGACACGUCUCCCGUCGACUCUGCAAAUCAUCAUCAAAUCCCAUUUAGGCAGAGACCAACCUGCAAAACAAAGGACCAUUGGAAAGGAAGAGCUAGAAGAAAACCACACCACCUAAAGAAACAAUCGCUGUCUUAAAAUGUUAGAAGACACUAGUCAAGAUGAAACGAGAGCCUUGUCAGGUAGAAUUUGGGAUAAGAAGGCUAGAAGAAAAAAGAGAAGGAGGAAGGAGAAUAGUGGAAAAAGCUAAAGAACAACAAGUGCGUCUCUUAGUGGUCGGAGAAGAGAAGAAACCACCGGUUUGGAGAUCGUUGAAAGAGAUGGGAAUGGGAAGAAACAGCAAGGCUGAGCAGGAGUUCUCAAGUAUUUCCUGUAGAAGGCUUCACGUAUGACCAUUGCGGUUAAACCAAAGAACUGUAAUUAAGCUUGGUGUUUUGAUUUUGUUUGUAGAGAUUGAUUUCAGUUUUGUUAUAUUAAGAUAUGCCGACAAAAGCAUAUUCAAAGUACAAUUCUCCAAACUGGUUAUUAUAUAACUGUUGUAUUUUUAUGUUGUUCCUCUUUAUACUUGAGAGGCUCACCAGUUACCAUCUCUCAUUCUCUUUAGUAUCUCUCUGUUUCUCUUCUUUAUUGAAACAUAGAUUAUAUUGUUCUCUCUUUUACUCUCUUGUCAUUUGUUUAGUUUUCUUGUUUUAACAAAUACAUAUAGUCAUAUACAAACGAAAAACAAAAACAAAGACAUGAAACGUUUAGUAAGAGAGAAGAAGAGAAAAACAUUCAUGUUGUUAUUGACCGAUCACGAGGAUACUCUUAUACUAGUUACUACUCUCUUACACUUACGCACUCAAGUCUAGAUUAACCAGCCACAUUAGGUAUGAUUGAUUCCAGUUUCUGGACUAAUGUUACAACUUACAAGCAAAGUUUGAACAACUCUGUUACACCUAUCUAGCUAUUCCAGCAAUUCUCUUAAGUCUAAACAAACCAACUUAUAAGUCUAUUUAGCUUACGACGACACAACUAGAUGAAUGGGCCAGACUAAACCUGAUAGACAUUUCUUUAUUGGACCAGAACCAAAUCUGCAAGGCCCAUCCCCAUCUCAUUCACCAAUCUAUCAGGUUUUCACUUGUUGACUUCUAUUUGGCGUUGACUCCUUCGCGGCAGCUUCUUCUGCUCCGACGCCUCUUCUUCUUUUCCCUUUUGCGCUUUGCUUCUUCUCCUCUUCUUCCUUCUUCUUACUCUUAUCAUUGAAGCUUUCUCUUAUUGCAGGUUGAAUCAUGGUUCAACUCCAAUACUCCCUCUUUAAACUUUGGUUGAAACUCCCAAAUCAGUAUAAGGAUUUUGACAUCGACGUGGUGCUUUAUUUACCGGAAACAACGACGAAUCACCACCUUCUACGGCGAGCAUCUCUCUCCGCGUAGGUAUUCUUUCAACUUAUGGCUAAACAAACCUUAAAAUCGUUUCCAAACACGCAGACCGUUGGAAGUAGGAUUGAGUUUUGUUGGAGAAGGAUCCUUAGAAGAAAGAAAUUAGCCAUGGAUCGAUGACCCGAAGCUGUCCAACGGAGAUCCCAUCCCACCGGGUGAAUUCAAAGGCUAUGCCGUGAACUAGGAUGAUUCAGAGGAGCUAUCACUAUACUCACGAAUCAGGUACAAUUGAUUUCGGUUUGGUUUUAAUGGUUUUCGAAUUACAAUUGAUUUUGGUUUGGUUUAAAUUGGUUUAGAAAAGAAGAAAACAAAAAAAAAAAAAAAGCCACGCGACGGCAAUUUUAGAAAAAAGUGCGUGGAAUCGUAAAGGCAUGAUUUGGUGGGUUAGAGAACCCACAGGAAUUGCCUUCACUCGCGCAACUCGCGUUUGGUGCGCGUGGGUAUGAAAUAGAGCCUUCUGAUUGGCUGAAAUAAUUGAAAUAGUAGUGGUAUAGCUCUGAUGUUGCUCCGUUUUUAUAUAUUUUUACUCUGUUUUUCGUCUUUCUUCGCUCAUUUGACGUCUCUGCUAAAAAAACGACAAUGUGAAAGAGGGAAUGAAAACUUCCGCAUCAAACAAAGGUCGUGAUGUUCUUAUUUGCUACUCUAUAUUGUGUAGAAUUGAUUGUAAUAUUGGCUAGGCAGAGACCAACCAGCAAAACAAAAGGACCAUAUAUUGAAAACGAAGAGCUUGAAGAAGAUUAUGCCACUGCCACCUAAAGAAACAAUGUACAGAGGGAAAAACAAUCGCUGUCUUAAAAUGUUAGAAGACAGUAGUCAAGAGAAAACGAGAGACUAGUAUAGAUAUAUACUCUGACUUGUUCGCUUGUGGUUGAGAUAAGAAGGCUAGAAGGAAAAAGAGAAGGAGAAAGGAGAACAGUGGAAGAAGCUAAUUAAAGAAGAAAAAUUGAGCCUCUUAGUGGUUGGAAAGAGAAGAAACCACCGGUCUGGAGAUUGUUGAAAGAGAUGGCGAUGGGAAGAAACGCAGAGGCCGAGCAGGAGUCUCAAGUAUUGCCUAGAGUAGAAAAGGCUUCUAUGUAUGACCGUAGCGGUUUAACCAAAGAAGUGUAUGAUCACAGCCAAACGUUCUUGAUGUGGCGGAGCAUAUUGGCCGCGAAGCAGAACGCCGGGGAUGUUCAGCAUCUAUCGUCUCCACCGACGAAUUAGCCGCAGUAUGUGUGUGUAGUAGUAAAAUCAAUUGGAUUUUUAAAAGCUUGUUAGUUUGAUUUGAAGAUUGUUUGCUGAUGCUUGGAUUUGCCAAGGAAACCUUACAAUCGCUGUCUUAAAAUGUUGAGUGGAUACUUUACUUCAUUUAUGUUAGUUUAUGGCUAUGUUAUGCUACUUAACAGUGAAGUGCUACUUGCUAAUGGUAAUUGCUAGAAAUGUCAAUAUAAAUAUCAGUUUGAAUGAAUCUGUGGGAAGUAGUCUCACAAAUGUUCUUUUUCAAUUUUGGCUCGUGAAAUUAAUUUCCCUUGCAUCUGAAGGUUAUGUAGCAUUUUAACUGUUUUUUGGGAAUUUAUCUUACACAAUAUGUCUCUUAUGUUUUGGCAGACAUCAUACAAAGAGCCCGUGGAAUGUCUCCCGGAAAAUUAUUCAAGGACAAAAGUAAACCAGACUGCUUUCUCAAGAUGGUAUGCACAUCUUGUUACCUAACUAAAAUUUCCUUUUUUUUGUUAUCUCUGAUAUGCUAGUCAACCUCACUGGUUAUGUUACCAAUGCUCUGUUACCUUGAAUCUGGUGGAGUUUAUGUUGCCUGUGAUAAACAUGUUUUCUUGAACUGUCUGAUUUGGGUAUGCAUUAUUAUGCUAAGCCUGGAUGAUAGAAAUUUUAUUCCCCUAGCUUGCUUUAACAUUUCUAUCCAUGUAGACCAGAAAUGAAGUCUUGACUAAAGCUGGAAGCACAAAGGGUGUCCGCCACUUCGAGUUCCAAUGUGUUUGCUCUGUAAGCCACUUACUUUUAAGAUCAACUUUCAAUCAAAUUUGAGAGUGAUGUCUCAUCAACCUCUUUUGUUUUCUCCUCUUUUUUAAGACUAUCCAAUAUGAAGUUGGGGAUGUUGUUGAGCUCCUUUCAAGCGAAAAUCCUUCAGCGAUAGAUGCCUUUUUAGAACACUGCGAUUUAGACCCAAAGUCAUUCAUCACAGUAAGUAGCUUUCAUCGGUUGAUAUUGAAUGAUCUCAGAUUUUCCAAUUUGGGAUUCAGAAUACAUCCCGAGAGUUAAUAUGUUUUCAGGUUGGUCCGAGAGAGACAGAGAAUAGUGGUGUCAAUGAAGAAAUGAUUACAUAGCUCCCUAUCAGGCUUAAGACUUUUGUUGAAUUAACAAUGGAUGUUACAUCUGCCUCACCCCGACGAUACUUCUUUGAGGUAAGAACCCUUUAAUCCUUCAAUCCUGAUGCAUUUGAAUUUCAAAUUUAUGAAAGUCCUUUUCAUCUUACGUAGAUAUGGCUUUGGGUUUAUCUAUGAAACUAGUACAUGAUGCAAAUCCUUGCAAUGUAUCAUCUCUGUUCAGGUUAUGAGCUUCUAUGCAACAGCUGAACAUGAGAAGGAGAGACCUCAAUACUUUGCAUCACCCGAAGGGAGGGAUGAUCUCUACAAUUACAAUCAGGAAGAAAGAAAGCAUUCUUGAGGUAAAAUAGCAACAGAUCUCACAGGUCCAUGAUGCGUCUUGAACAUGCAUUGACUCUUUUAACCAAAUGGAUCGUAUUGCUAAUGACUAUGUAGGUGCUAGAGGAUUUUCCUUCCGUACAAAUCCCUUUUGAGUGGCUAGUACAGCUAGUCCCACAGCUAAAAGCAAGAGCUUUUUCGAUAUCUUCGUCUCCGUUGGCCCACCCUGCUCAAAUUCAUUUGACCGUAAGCAUAAUGUUGGCUUUAGAAGAGAUUGAGUCAGAGGAGACGGGAGGAUGAAAGGAGGUUGCUUCAAGGUGGCUCAAGGCUUCGGAGAAGGCAGGGAGGUACAAUGUUGAAGCUUGGUCUUAAAUCCAACUUCUUUACGUUAUAUGAAGCCACGUAGCUUAAUUGGUUAUUGUUGUCAGAUUGAUUUUUUAACUUUAUUUUGAUAAUUCACACAAUAAGAAAGUUAACUAAAACGGAAGAUGAUUUGUUUAGUGUUAACAUAAAUAUUUAGCUUUGAAAUACGUACGUACUUUUUGUUGUUGUUUGUUGUAUCUUAAGUUAAAAGUUGUGUUAGUUGUUUUUACUUUAGAAGUAUGGAAGUAGAUGACAUUGAUUUCUCUCUGUACACGAUGAAAAAAGGUGAGAGCAAUCGAGUGGAGAGCCAUGCGUGAAUAACAAAAGAUAAAAAUGAUCCGUCCUCCAUCAAAAUCCCAUAAAAGCAAUGAGAUUUCGACGGACCCUAAAAAUUAAAACUAGAAAAUUGUAGAAGUAUAAAAUUGAAAAAAAAGGAAUUGGAAUUAUCUUCAAACUUGAAAAUUCAUAAUCUGAACAUAUUAAUAAACUAUAAUAUAUGGAUGUCCUACUUUGAUUUUCAUUAGUUAUUGAGUAAGCAAUACUAAUUAAUAUAUUAAUUAAUGGAGUUUAGUGUUAUGUGUGUUUUAAAAGGUCAACUUAAUUUUUUGUGUUGGGUGCUAAUUCAUGAAGCUCCAUUGGCAUCCAACAAACAAAGCUCUCUCUCUCUCUCUCUAUCUCUCUGUCUGUCUGUCUCUCACCCACCUUCACAACAGCAAUCAUCAUUCAUCAUUCAUCAUCUUCUUCUCCAUCUUCAGUCUUCCUCACUUUCUCCGCAAUCUUUCUUUUACUGUCACCGACGACAGAACCAAAAAAAAAAGAAAUCUCCUUUUUUCCACUUUUGAAAUUACUGGGGAAUUGCACAAUUAAUUAAAGUAAAAAUUGAGAAUUUAAAGGGCUUCUCUCAGGAACUCUUCUUCUUUCGUUGGUUAUUUGUUUGUUUCAUCUCUCUCUCCCUCUCUCGAUCGUAAAGUAAAGUAAAGAAAUCAGUUUAGGUCUCUCUCCUUGCAGCUCUAAUUCUCGAUUAAAAGGUUUACUCUUUCUUCUUAAUCACUAGAAGUGGGUUGUGAUCAUUAUUACGAUCCCCUUUAUCGUUUAUUGAUCUCAAAUGUUUUGUUUUCUAUAUUUUGGUCAAAUUUCGCUGAUGAUGAUACACUCUCUGUUUCCUCUCUUCUUUUGAUUACUCUUUUAUGGUGUUUCUUCUUCUUUCACUGUUCGGUGUAUCUUAUCUCAAUUCGUUUUUUUUUUUUUCUUCUUCUGUGAUAUAUUAUUUAUUGUGGUUGUCGGAACCUAAUUUAGGGUUUUAUGUGCUUGCAUUCCACUUUACUGAAACCUCGAGUUAGUUGUUGUAAGUGUUCAGAGUUCAGAUCGGAACUCUCACUUGCUACUGUAACAGAAAUUGGACUUUUGGUUUCUUUAAGAUGAAUUUGUAUUGUAUUACUUGAAGUUUGCUUUUUUUUUUUUCCAAUAUUGAUCACAUCAUUCUCUUCACUUCACAGAUCUUUGGAGUUAUCAAGGCAUCAAACACCAUUAUAUCAUUGAAGCAGAUGUUUUUUUUGGGGAAUCAUACUUCUCUAAAUAGAAACUUUCAAUCAACGUUGAAAGUUUUUUGAGAGUCUCAUAAUCGGAUUCAGAUAGAUAUUUACAUGCAUGGAUAUAUUUAUCACUUGUUGAUAUCUCAGUGUUGUGGUCUGAGAAAGUUGGGGUAAAGGAAUUCAUUCAAAUUAACAUAGAAAGAGAGACGGACAAGAUGGGAUGUGUUUCUUCUUGCUUUCGGGUAGAAGACAUUGAUGACUACAUGAAUCCAAAUAGCUCUGUGUAUAGGAACUGUCCCUGCAUUAGAUGCCUUGCUCAUAAUUUCCUUAACUUGGUACGUUCUUCACAUUGCUUAUUUCAAUUGAUACUUUCUUAUAUCUCAAAAGUUUUCAUGUUUCUAUGGUCACAAUGUAGACUUCUUGUCACAAUUUUUUUUACUUUGAUCAUUCAUUUAAAUUUCUGAGCCCAUAUUAAUCGUUGCAGUAUGUCUCGGUCUUCAGAAGAGGGGAAACCCGCUCUCUCCCAUCUUCGGUUCAAGCUACUGCAUCGAUGACUUCCUCUUCUUCGCACGAUAACUUUCUGUCUGAAGCAUUCCGUUCUACACCAAGACCUCUCCCUUAUGAUGCUGAUCCUAGAUAUUUCCGUUCACUCAUCUCAAGACGGGAGAAGGGUUCAAGUCAUUCCCAUGAUGAAGCUGAACCUUUAAGAAGUGAUAGCGAUGCAGAUUCUGAAUCUUUCGGGGCUGGAGGAUGCAAAUGGGCUAACAGUAAGUCCACCAUUUCUGAUAAAGAUUCCAAAGAAGAGUACUCUAGUAAAUCCAGUCUCAGGAUUUUGAAAUCAAAGUCAAAAUCAGUAAUGGUAGACUCUGAAAACAUGUAUAUACUGUCUGAAGAUGAAGAUGUUUGUCCAACUUGUCUUGAAGGUGAAAAUCCCACUCCUAGUUGUCUUUCGCAAUUUCCUUUAUGAGUUUUUUUUAAGUAUUCAUCUUCUUGUUGGUCUUUUGCAGAAUAUACAUCGGAGAACCCAAAGAUUGUGACAAAAUGUUCUCACCAUUUCCACCUUAGUUGCAUUUAUGAGUGGAUGGAGCGAAGUGAAAACUGUCCUGUCUGCGGAAAGGUAACCACUUUUUUCUAAAUUCUCUUUAGAAAACUUCGGCCAAAGCAAAUACGCUUUUUGAAAUAGCCUGGUCUAGAGGAUUAAAAGCUAACAUUUUCCUGGAAUCUAUAGCAAUUUUGUUGUUCUGAUUCAUUCUGAUUAAGAAAAGAGCUUCAUUUCAACUUUCAAAUUUUCUUUCCAUAACUUCUACUGGUAAAGUUGUUUGAUAGGUAGAAGAAGUGAAGUGUAUGUGUGUGUGUAGAAAUGUCCUGAUAGAGAGUUAAAUCAUUUCUCGGAAUCCAUAACAGUUGUAUUCUUCUGAUUCAUUCGGAUUUAAGGAGAGCUCCCAUGUUUGCCAUUUUCCUUGUAUGCAAUGCAGGUGAUGGAGUUCAAUGAAACACCGUGAUAAUCUGCCAUUGAUCUGAGUCCUGUAUCUGAACUGAAACUGGGGAAGAUGACAAGGCAAUAUGCAAGGAAUAAUUUGUAAAUUUGGCUUGUUGGUUUGUGAAUAUUUUUCAUUUACGAUGGUAAAUAUAUAUGAAGCAGAAAGGGAGAAAAUGUUCCUCUGCAACAGUUCUAAGUUUCCAUGAAACAAGAAGCAAUGUUUUAUCUUUAAGUGAUUUUCUCCCAUGAAUUUGUCUCUGUUUGUAUUCCCUCUCCAAUCAUCGAAACUCUUACAUCAUUGUCGUUCGAUAGAUUAAAAUUUCCCUUAUAAAGUGUUCAAUUUAAGGAAUACAAAAACUGAUACAGUGAUAGUCUUAUGAAGUGGGGAAAAGAUAAAGAAAAACAACAAGUUUAGGGACUUUUGUGUAAAUAUACCAUAAAGUGAAGGUCUUCUGGUGUUAAUAUCAGAAAUUUUGUCUCCCGACUCUGUCCCCGAGCUCUUGGGAGCAAAUGAACGAACGAGAACGACCUUCAUUGCUUCUCUCUUUACCUCUGUUUCUUACACAUUAACAAAGCCCCAAACGCAACAACAAGUUUCAGAAUUUUCGAUUCAUCCAAUUUUUAUUGUUGAUAUUUGAGGUACGGUUUCAGAUUCUCUCUGGAUUGUUGCUUUUUCUUUCUUUCAGUUUCAGGAAUUGAGUUUGCAUUUGCGUGUGGUGUCAUCUUAGUCAUAGAAGAACUUCAUUUAUUGUUUCCCUCAAAUUUGUGAUUAGCUCUAGGAAUGGGUAUUUGAAAAACUUGCCUGAUUCGUGAUCGCAUCUGCUCAUUUCUGUAAAAACAGAGUUUUGUUCAGUUCCUUCAUAAAUUUGGGGUCUUUUCGAAAAGAUGACAAUUUUUGUGUAUGAUUCAUCUUAAAGGGGAGUCCUAAAUAUGGAUAUUGGAGAAAUCAUUGGUGAAGUAGCUCCACCUGUGAGUAUCCCAACAAAGAGCGCAAUAUACGUUUGGGGUUACAAUCAAAGCGGACAAACUGGUAGGAAGGGACACGAGAAGCUUUUGCGUAUCCCAAAACAGCUUCCUCCUGAGCUUUUUGGUUGCCCCGCUGGUGCGAAUUCCCGUUGGCUCGAUAUAUCUUGUGGUCGGGAACAUACAGCUGCCGUUGCAUCAGAUGGAUCUCUCUUUACUUGGGGUCUGUCUCUUAAUCUCCAUAAACUAGAAUCUGCUCAUUUCGACUUUUGGCUUGAUAGUCUUUCUUCUUGUGAUGGAAAGUUCUUUUCUUUCUGUAAUCAAUGUGAUAGAAAUCUAUCUAAGUAGUUACCAGUUAGUUGUUUGGUUGGAUCUUGUUGUUGAAUCUGUCGCAAUCCGUAACUUCCUGAAGUCGGGAUGGUUAUGUCCUUGUUUCAGGUGCUAAUGAAUAUGGUCAGCUUGGGGAUGGAACCGAGGUUGGGAGGAAACAUCCAAAGAAGGUUAAGCAGCUGCAAUCAGAAUUUGUGAAAUUUGUGUCUUGUGGAGCUUUUUGCACUGCAGCUAUAGCAGAACCCCGUGACAAUGACGGUACUCUUUCCACUAGUAGACUAUGGGUUUGGGGCCAAAACCAGGUAUUGCAGGUUCCAUUAUCAUGACUGGAAUUGCCACCUCAUGUGCUAUUCAUAUAAUCUCUCAAAUUUCUUCAUGACAGGGAUCAAAUUUACCACGCUUGUUUUCUGGGGCAUUUCCUGUUACAACGGUAUGUACUAAAAACCUAUCGAAUGAUUGAAACAUAUUAGUGUAAACAGUGAUUUGGUGAUAUAUGCACAUAUUAUAGGCGAUCCGCCAAGUAUCCUGUGGGACAGCUCAUGUUGUGGCCUUAUCAGAAGAAGGCCUUCUUCAAGCUUGGGGUAAGAAUGCUUGGAGAUCUUGUUAUGCACUAAAACCUGUUUAUUUGGUAAUAUUUUUUGUGAUUUUGUAUGUCUUCCAUGGAAAUUAUAAGGCUAUAAUGAACAAGGCCAACUUGGUAGAGGAGUCACUUGUGAAGGACUACAAGCACCUCGUGUGAUAACUGCUUAUGCGAAGUUCCUUGAUGAAGCACCUGAGCUUGUGAAGAUUAUGCAAGUUUCAUGUGGGGAAUACCAUACUGCUGCUGUAUCUGAUACAGGCGAGGUGUAAGUUAUCUAUAUGCCUUUUCUUGAAAACGUUGUGGUUAUUCACAUGGCAUGGGUAGCUAAUUCUCUGUGCAAGGGUCCGGGGAAGGAAAUCCUUCUGAUGGAGAUAUUGAUCUCAUCACAUCCUAGCUGAUGGAAUGCUUGAGGAAGCAAAUGGAUUCCUGACUAUGCAAGUCUCCUUCCCUUUCGCUUAAUUUAUUUUGGUUAUCUUAUUCAGUGUCCACUGCUUAUCUCUUAUGCUGCAGUUAUACUUGGGGAUUAGGAAGCAUGGGUCAACUUGGGCAUGUUUCUCUUCAGUCCGAGGAUAAGGAGUUAAUACCAAGACGAGUCAAUGGUCUUGAUGGUGUGUCAAUGAAAGAAGUUGCUUGUGGUGGUGUACACACUUGUGCUUUAUCUUUGGAAGGAGCACUUUAUGCUUGGGGUGGUGGCCAAGCAGGACAGCUAGGACUUGGUCCUCAAUCUGUUUUUUUGUUUAAAGUCUCUAAUGGAAGCGAAAUGCUUCUACGAAAUGUCCCUGUUUUAGUCAUCCCAACUGAUGUCCGGCUUGUUGCUUGUGGACAUUCUCACACGCUCGUUUAUAUGAGAGAGGGACGCAUUUGCGGAUGGGGUUAUAAUAGCUAUGGUCAAGCAGCAAAUGAGAAAUCGUCAUAUGCUUGGUACCCAUCGCCUGUAGACUGGUAUAGCUCAAACAGUUUAUAUUGUUAAAUCAAAGCAAAGAUAUAAAACAGUUUGUGAUGCAAACAUUGUAAUAUUUUCAGUUAAAUUUAACGUGAACUCUGGUGUUUCAUUUAGGUGCGUAGGACAAGUGAGGAAGCUAGCAGCAGGAGGUGGUCAUUCGGCUGUUUUAACUGAUGCAUUUUCAUUGAAGGAGUUGUGUGAAUUUCAAUUAGCAGACAGUGUGAACCUCUCAAAUGCUUCAAAGAUUCAAGAUGUUGCAUUCAGAAUGGGUUCCGAAGCUUUAGCCCGCCUAUGCGAAAGACUCAGGUAAGAAAAGUUGAAGUUUCUGGAAAAACGUCUCUGUUACCUCGUAAACUUUAAAACUUAAGAGGGAAACCAAGUUAAACAAUGUGACUUGAUGUGUUUCAGGGAGCAGUUCCUUGAUGGAGACUUUACUAAUGGGGAAGAAGUAUAUUAAAAAGCACAAACCCCAAACUCUAGAACAAUUAGUACUGAUGGAAGUUAAUACAAUUCAUCCUGUAUCGUUAAACAAUUGAAAAAUGUAGUAAACCAGAAAGUCCAUUCUUCAGCAGAACUCUGUACCAUUGUAUCUUUCAGGACAGAUUUCAUUACCUGUCCUGUGUCUGUAACUGUAAGAUCCAGUUGUUGUAAUUAUCUGUUCUGUACUCUUUCGAAUUGAAAAUAAAACAAGUUGGAUCUUGGUGGCAUUGUCAAAUGUUGAAUCUCACUGUUAACUUGAAAGUUUAUUAGCCUCUGUUGCAGGCUAUGUCGGUUAGCAUCUAACAGUGUAGUCUUUGUUCAUAUUGUAAUAUGAAAAAACAGAAUGAAUAAUUAAACCAGAUGAGACAUGGUUAAUCUUAACAUUUUAGUUCUUACACAUUACAAUCCCAUACAUAGAAGCAAAGGUUACUAAAGGCACAAACAUCUCCUGAAACAGGAGAGACAUUGGAGGCUAUUAUGGUUAUAGCCACUUAUGUAUCCAAAUCAAAGUCUUGUGCAUACAUAAACACAAAAUUCAUUACUAUUCAUUCUUAUUCAUAUGCAUAAGAUCAAAGACCUCACGCGCCAAGACCCCACCAGUACUUUCUUAAGAUCCUUAAUGGGUGAAGAAGUAUCACUCAUAGCAUCCAGCCAGGGAUGUAGCCGUUUCCUGGUUGGUUAUGACCUUGCGUCGCUACAGCCAUUUGCUCCGAGCACACUGGAUGGCCAUACCUGUUUGCAUCACCACAACAUCUUAAUUUAGGAAUUUACAAUCUAAGCCCACAACCUGUUUCCCUCCUAUAGACAUCAAAUUAAAGUGCUGAAAACUUUGACUAAACAACACGAGUUUUAACCAAAUAUCUUUAAAACAAAGACAAUGUUGGGCUUAACCAAACUGUAUUAACUGUUUAUCACUUAAGUUGAUGUGUUAAGGCAAGAGAAGUUGUAUGAUUUACCCAAUUUGCAAAGUGGGAUCACAUUCAAGAGAUUGGUAUAGUCCCUGAGAAUGAGCCUGAUGAUGUCCGUAGACAACAUUCUGUUGAUCACCGGCUUCCCAUGCUCCUCCUAUAUGGUGAUGUCUCACGCCGAUCAUAUCUUCCAGCUAAACAAAACACAACAUUAUUCAAACUUUCUUGAAACCAUUUCACAGAAAUAAUCCAAAAGAGGAGCUAGGCAUGUAGCAGUUGAAGAUUAUUGUGAACUUAGACUCAUACAGAGAGAGAAAGAGAAGCAUCAUAUACCUUCACUGACAAAGCUCUGUUGGCUUCAAGCAAGAUAUGCUCUUUACCUUGAAGAUCAGAGAGCUGGUCAAGCAUAUACUGCGUCUGAGAAAGAAAAAGAUAAACAAUCAUUUUCAGACACAUAUAUAUAUAUAUAUAGAGAGAGAGAGAGAGAGAUCAUUUGUGUGAAUCUUUUUGUGUAUAUAUACAAUGAUUGAAAUAUUAAAAUCACCUUGAUGCAGCGAACUUGCUUCAGAGAGCCGUCUAGUUGACGCUCAAGCUGCUCUAGCUCCUUUGAAUUCAGAGGUCCAAGGUCCUCUCCAAGUAGGUUUCUGCAGCAUUAACACACACUUACAUGCAUCAAACACUAACAUUUAUUUAUAUAAUGUGCAUAAAAACCAAUGUAUAUAUAUAUACAUACCUCUGCUGACGCUGCAGAUUUUCAUAUCUACCUUUCAGCUUCAAAUACUCUCUGUAGCUGUUCUGAAAGAUGCCAAGAAAAUAGACAAUAAUGUUGGAACACUUAUAUAUGUAUCUUCGAAUCUUGAGAAAAUUUGAAGUGAUUUUGUUAAUAUCAAACAAAAUUAGUUGAUCAGGAAGAAGAAGAAAGAUCAAACCUCAAGUUCUUUGGCAGGUUUGUUGUUGACUUCAAUGGAGCCAUAACUGCACUUCUGGUACCUUUCCAGUGUCUUAAGCAUGCUGAAAGAUCAAACACACAAAUUAGGAGAAGAAGAAAUCAAGAAACUAUUCAUUUGAUGACAGGAAUUAAGAAUUAAAUUUAAUUCAAAAAUAUAUAUAUAUUAAUACAAAAAAAAAAAACUGGAACAAAGAAGAUCUUGGGCGGAUUGAUUAAUAUAAAAAGAUAAGAUGUUAUUAUAAGAUUAAUUUGGUGCUUAAAUGUCUGCAUGAGGUUGAGACUGGUUAAUGCAUGGAACCACAAACUUAUUAUUCUACGUUGGAUCUUCUUAUUUUUAUUGAAGACUGUGAAUCUUUAAUUUACUUUUGAUAGUCCUAAUCACAUAUAUAUCUGUGUAGAGCCAAUGAUAUUACUUAUUCAUCAUUAAUUAUAUAUGACACUUACCUAGCUAGCUCUCCUACAAAGUAAUUUGAAUCUCUAUACAUACAAUUAGUUGCAAUUUUUGACAUGAGAAUAGAUCAGAUCUCGAAAUCCAAUCAAUAUGAACUAAAUUAUAUAUUAUCCUUCUAUAAUCAAAACCUAAGAGAUCAGAUUUAGAAACUAAUGAAAAUAUAUCAAGUUUGUUAAAAAGAAAUCAAGAACAAAACAAAACCUCUCAAGACUUCAAAAGUACUCAGAAAGAAGAUCUAGACACAGAUCUAGAGCAAUUGUUUUAUAAAAUGUAUCUGAGAGAGAAAUUAAAGAAGAAGUACUUGGAGGUGCUGCAGAACUCGUAGAGCUUGCCACGGUUGGAGAAAACGAUGAGAGAGACCUCAGCAUCGCAGAGAACAGAAAGCUCAUAAGCUUUUUUCAACAGACCGUUCCUACGCUUAGCAAACGUCACUUGUCUGUUGAUUUUGUUCUCUAUCCUCUUCAGCUCUACUCUUCCUCUUCCCAUUUUUUCAAACACACAAAAAAAAGAAAAGAAAAAUCCCCUAAUUUAUUUAUAAAUUUGUAGCUAAUAUAUGUGUGACCUUAUUAGGGUAUGCAAUGUUUUGUCUAUAUACAGACACACACAAACAUGACUGACUUUUUAUCUGGCGAAAGAUCUUAUCUUUUGGAGAAGUAAACCCUAGUUUUUUAUUUUUCUUUUAUUUUCAAGAACAAGCUAGGAAAAGAAGAUGAUGAGGGAUAUCUAUAUAGAGAGAAAAUAAAAGAGGAAACUUUAGCUUUCUGAUCAGGCAGCUGGUUUUGGUUUUGAUUUGAUAAAAGGGCUACUAGCUCUUGUUUAUUCUUUAGAUCUUUUUUUUUUUUUUUGAAGGGUUGUGAUGAGAUUGUGAAUCUGAAGAAAAGUUUUUGUGAAUCUAUAAAAGCCUAUCAAAGAGAUAAGAAAAUUUGUGAGGGUGAGAGAUCAUUAGGGUUUGUUUGGUGUGUUUUCAUUCACACACUCUCUCUCUCUCUCUACUUCUUUACUCUUUCUCUCUCUCCUAUAGUAGCAAAAAAAAAACAAAACAUCCUCACAGCUCUCUUCCAUGCGCGUGUCACUCAGACGUCAUUGUUUUGAAACAAAUUAAGAAAUAUUCAAGUUUUAAUGUUUUAUUGAUUUACAUAUUUCAUGUCUACGUAUACAUACAUUCCCUAAGUAAUUACUAAGAAAAAACUGAAUAAAUCAUCGAGCUCAAAUUCUAAAUUCAUACUAGCUUUGUGGUUUUCUUUUCUUUAUUAAGUGGUUGAAUUAAAAUAUAGAAUGAUGACAACGUACGUUUUAAAACCUUCCAAUUAAUGUUUGUUUUAUUCCAUAUUAAUUCAUAUAUAAGCGUAAAAGUAUUGCACUAGUGUAUAUAUAUGUGAAACUUAACAGCCUUAUUGUAAAGUCAGAAAACUCAUCCAUUAUAGCUCAAGUUCCACACACUAAUAAGGCUAGAAUUAAAUCUUCAUCUCAAUAGAUUUUGUGCUUAUAUAUUAUAGAUGGUGUAACUCUACACAACGUACACGUACAUACGAAAAUUUGCUACUUCCUUUGUAAUAAAGUCUACAAGUUUUGGAAUUUGAAUGACUUAGAAAUGUAAUAUUGUACUAUGGUACAAACAACAGCAGUGCAGUGCAGUGGCUUUGAAUAUAAGGUUAUGUCCAACUGGGUGGGAGAUGAGAAUUGACAUGAUAGGAAAAAGAAAAGUAAAGCUUGGAACACAUACAUACAUUACAUGAUAUAUAUAUGUAUUGGUGGUGGGUAUCUAAGAGAAGAUAAAAGAAACGAAAGCAGGUAUCAUCAUUUUCUACUUCACAAGUCGCAGAAAAGCUUCUCCUACCUUAAAAUGGACAUAUGUACGUGUCGCUCUUCUAUUUGCUUCCUUCAUAGUUCCCUAUCUAUCUAUCUAUCUAUCUAUCUAUUGGACAACGUUUAAGUUUUGUCAAAAAAAACCCAUUCUUUAUGCAUUAUUUUUUGGGUUUGUUUAAGAAAUUUAUACCCUCAGUUUUAUUAUGCAUUUUCCUUAUUCUUCCUAACUUAAAUGGUUAAAAUUUGUGUGUGUUUUGUUUCUUCUAGGUUUGAUUUGGUUUCCUUUAAGCAAAGGCCAUUUCACGAUACUUUUUCCUCCAUGAAUUGUUUAAUUGGGAGAGAACAUGGGAGGAGAUAAUACACACCACAUAUACAUACUGUACAAUUUUUUUUUUUUAUAUAUACUUAGUUGAUUACUCUUUAUUAAACUUAAAGGUGGAUUUAAUUAGUAUGUCUCCAAUCUUUUUCUAUUUUUGGGGCAUUGCUUGCAAGAGUAUUGGGAAUUAAUGAAAGUCUUGUAGGUGAGGCGCCAAGAAGGGUAAUAUAUGUUUUCUUGGGUCAACAAGGGUAAAAUUAGUCUUGGGCAGAAAACAAAAUUACUGUAAUUGUUUUGUUUUUUUAGGUUUAGGUUUUAGUUACGGUACGGUAUUUACUUAUUAUAUUUUUCAUACUCGAUCAAAAUUAAUGUUCUGGACAAUUAAAAUUUAACUAUACAUGGACUUAUGGAAUGUGUUUAUCUGAAGAUUUGUUGCAAAUGUAUACGAUUGUAAGUAAACUAAAUCGACGAUUUUGUAGAAAUCUUAGUAAACUAAAUCGUAGAUUUUGGUUUUGAAUGGAGAUAAUAAAUAUGUCAGAGCAGAUCAAGCAGUUCAAAUAUACCCAGCAGAACAAAAGCAGAUUAAACAGAUAUGGCAUAUUAAAUGCAGAUCAAGUUUUAUUAAUUUUUUAUUAAAAAAGCAGUUCAUUUAAAAACACUCCAAAUCUCCAGCUUUUUUACUGUUCAUAGUGCAGUACAAAUAUCCUUCUUAUUUUUGAUCUGCCAACAGAUCAAUUAUUUUUUAAUAAUAUUUCCUUUUUUGAACUGCCAUUAUAUUAAUUUUGUGUGAAUGGAGGAAAAAUAUCAGUUCUCCCAAUAUGUGUAUUAUCUGCUUUUAAUCUGCCUUUAAUCUACCCUUCCAUACAAAAUCUUAAUUUCUCCUUCGGACAAAGAAUCUACCAGCAAAGAUCUUUAUCUUCAGGUGACGUAGGGGAAAUGUCCGUACACAUUGUUUUUUUUUUUACAGACAGCAAAAAGACGUAAGUAAACGGAAAAAUCAAUAAAAACACAAGUGGGUGAAGGACACGUGUCAACAUAUGAUUGAAUAGUGAGUAAGCUUUGACUUUUGUGGCAGGCGUGGCCUCAAAGGAGUCACCUUUCUAACAGUGUCUUGUCCGGUCCCUCUGUUAAAAGUUUUUUUUUUUUUUUUUUUACCUUUUAUUAUAUUUUACCCCUAUUGAUUUACUAAUACACUAUUCUUGUUAACUUUGGAUUAUUAUCUCUUGUCUUCCUUAUAAUUUUUUUUUUUGAAUGAUUCAAAUCUAAAUCUUUGGCGAGAUCGACACUACUAAAGUCUAGUCUCACUCAUUUAGGAAUUUUAAUACUUGUCAAGAAGUAUGAUUUGAUAGCAGAAAGUGCAACACGAAUGCAAAGAGCAAACUUACCAUUUGGGAAUGUUUUCAAUAGCAAAAAAAAAACAUCGAUCGUCAUUUUCAUGUGUCACAUGGUUUUGAUAUGAUCAACCCAAAAUCUCCAAAGUAGAAGAAACAUGUUGUCACACUGUAUAUAGUGAGGCUUAUAAGCUGGUAUCUUACCUACCAUACAUAUAAUAUAUAUAGGUUUCCUAUAUCUCAACAAAAUCUAUUUUAAAAAUCAUUCAAACAACUAGUGAGCAAACCCUUGGUAGGUUUUUUUAUAUGCAACAUAACCUCCAAAUAUGAAUGAAAUCAACAACAUCUUUUCUUCUAGAUGACUUUUCUGAGAAUGGAAAGAAAUUAAGACUCUAAAAUCUACUUGUACGCACAUGGAGCUUAAUAGAUAUUAAAACAGCAUAAAUAAAUAGUCGCAAAUGGCCCAUUAGCUCAGUUGGUUAGAGCGUCGUGCUAAUAACGCGAAGGUCGCAGGUUCGAAACCUGCAUGGGCCAUUUUUUUAUAUUCAAACCCCUAAUUUUAUACUUAGUCUCGCAUCCCUGUACUUUUUGAUUUUCUUACAUUCACACCCUUAUAUUUACUUUUGGUCUAAAAUACAUACUUGACUUUUUAUUUAUAUACACAUUCAUGCCCACUAUCUUCAUUUUGUUCAGUUAUGUCCAAAUCCAAUCAGAAAAGUAACUGAAAAACAGAUUAAGGAAAUCUCUAAACAAAUUUUAAAGGAAAGGAAAAAAAGAAAAAGAAAAAAGGCAAAUAGUGUUGUAUGUCCGGAAUCCGGAGUAGGGUUUUAAAUUUGAAGUUUAAGUUCAUCCUUCUUCUCCUUCCAAUUCCAAUCAAUCUCUCUCAGCUUUCACUUUGGAAACGAAGCGGAUAGGAUUUAUAUUUCAAUACGUAUUUGUGCUUUGUCAUUGAGUUUACAUAACUCGAUAUUGGUGGUGUGUGAAUUUGUGAAAGAGAGAGAGAAAGACUUAAAGAAGACGAAGCAAUGGAAACGGAUCUGAAUGAUUAUACUGUUGUUAAGGAAGGAGAAGCUGAGAUUCUCAUGCACAAGAAGAAUCAAGUCUUCUUCAAUAAAGCUCAGGUUCCCAAAUUUCUCUUCUUUAUCAAAAUUUUGUGUGUUUCUUUAAGUUUGAAGCUGACAUAUAUAUAUAUAUAUAUAUAUAUAUGUGUUAUCUGAAUUGGCUGCUUUGAUUUUUCUCCACAUGUUGUAGCUUUGGUAAGAUACACUGAACAUUGAUUCAAAAUCAGUUAGCUGAUCCCUUGUUCUGGAACUAGAAUUUCUUUACCUUUUUUUUAUUUAAUCUAGGAAUCUCUCAAUUACUGUUUAAAGUUUGGAUUUUUAUGAUUAUUAGUCAGUUUCAUAGUAAGUAGUUGAUUCAUGGUUUAGUCAAUGAUGUAUGCCUGUUUGAAGUACCGUGAAAUCUAAGAGUGAACCUGAACUCUUUGCUUUAUGUCUAUAUUGACUGAUUAGGUGAACAAUAGAGACAUGUCUAUUGCUGUCCUAAGGGAAUUUAUAUCCAAACGCAAGCAAGAGCAUGAGGGUAAGCCAUCUAAAAGAGCUAGACCAGCUUCCAAAGUGAACGACAAGGAUUCUUCUGUUGCUUCCAAGGAUGAAACUCCUAGUGAGAACGGUAGGAAUAAUGGUGAACACAAAGUAGCAUCUGAGGAUGGACCAAGCUCUGCAUCUAUAGAUCCUGCUAAGACAACAGAAGGAUUUGCACGAAGAGAAGCCAAGCCACCAAAAGUGCUUGAGGUUCUCCUAAUUCUUUUACUCGCCCUCUUGUUUCAUAGCUUAUUGUGAUCUUGCAGUUAAAUAACUUAACUUUCUUUUUUGUUGCAUACUUAAAAUUUCAGGCUUUGUCAGCUUCUGGGUUACGGGCUCUAAGAUAUGCGCGAGAAAUAGAAGGAAUUGGUCAGGUUGUGGCAUUAGAUAAUGACCUUGGUAAAUUUUUCCUUCAUUCCUGUAUAGAUAUAUUUUUUUUCUCGUAGCUCUCCUAUUUCAAUGCCUAAUGUUGUUCCUAUUUCUUUUAAUAGCAUCCGUGGAAGCUUGCCAGAGAAACAUAAAGUUCAAUGGCUCCGUUGCUAUUUCAAAGGUGGAGUCACAUCAUACCGAUGCUCGUGUCCAUAUGCUUACCCACCCUAAAGAAUUUGAUGUGGUAACCAUUAAUAUAUUCACAAUAUUGUAUCAUUUGCAUAUAGAGUUGCUUCUGUUAAAGUAAUUCUCGCUAUUAAUGUUCUUAGGUUGAUCUUGAUCCAUAUGGAUCACCGUCUAUUUUCCUUGACCCGGCUAUUCAAUCGGUUACGGAUGGUGGAUUGCUAAUGUGUACAGCAACUGACAUGGCAGUGUUAUGUGGUGGUAAUGGUGAAGUUUGCUAUUCCAAGUGAGUUUUUAUCCGUUCACACCUUUCUUUUAAGUUUUAAACAAGUACAGAUGAUGCCUUUGGCUAAACCGAUACUUAAAUCCUUAAUAUAUCAGAUAUGGUUCUUACCCGUUGAGAGGAAAGUAUUGUCAUGAGAUGGCUUUGCGGAUCCUUCUUGCCAGCAUCGAGGUCUGUUUAUCUUAGCCAAAUCCAGUUUUACUAAAUAAUCAUUUUUUCUGUCAUUACCGCCAAUUCUCUCAGUUUCAGAUUGUUUUCUUAUGUUCCUUUUCACCUUGUGGUUAUGAUUUGAUGUAGAGCCAUGCAAACCGCUACAAGCGGUAUAUUGUUCCGGUGCUAUCUGUGCAAAUGGAUUUCUAUGUUCGUGUUUUUGUCCGCGUUUACACGUGAGUUUUCCUUGUUUAAUCAAAACAUGUAACAUCUCAGCAAUACAGAUUAUGAAAUUUUUUUUUGUUUUGUUUUUGAUCCACUGAAACCUCAAAGCUUAAUGAAAUUUUCAGCUCGGCAAGUGCAAUGAAGAACACUCCAUUGAAGCUUUCUUACGUUUAUCAAUGCAUUGGCUGUGAUUCAUUUCAUCUUCAACCUGUCGGAAGAUCCCUCCCUAAGGUAUAUGCACCUGUAAAAAAAUUCACACAUUCUCUUUUCUAUGCAAUGCAUCUCCUAAGAUGAUAGAAACUUGGACUAUAGCCAAUGAUUCUUGUUAUGGUUCUAUGUGUGUCAAUAGUGCAUGUCAUAGUUCCCACCAUUUUAUAAUACUCUCGGAACUAGUAUAUGUGAGGCCACUUCCAAAGUAGUUUAAAUUCUAUCCUAAGACCGUAUUUAAAUAUUUUUUCAUCAUUUGUUUUUUGGGCAGAACAACAGUGUGAGGUAUCUACCAGCAAUUGGUCCGGUUGUGCAGCAGGAUUGCAGCCACUGUGGGAAGAAAUACAACAUGGGUGGACCAAUAUGGUCUGCUCCAAUUCAUGAUCCAGAAUGGGUGACUUCGAUUUUAAGCAGUGUGCAAUCCAUGAAAGACAGAUAUCCUGCUUAUGACAGGAUCUCUGCUGUACUUACUACAGUCUCCGAGGUAAGUUGCUGGAUUCUUUUUUGGUGUUAAGUUUUCUGAAGAACCCAUUUUAAUAUUGAUUUUUAUCUUUCUAUCUUUUUCUUCAGGAAUUGCUUGAUGUUCCCCUGUUUUUGAGUCUGCAUAAUCUUUGUGCGACUCUAAAAUGCAUUUCACCAUCAGCUGCUAUGUUUCGAUCAGCGGUUAUUAAUGCUAAUUACAGAAUCUCGGGGACUCAUGUGAAUCCGCUUGGCAUGAAAACUGAUGCUCCUAUGGAGAUUAUCUGGGACAUUAUGCGCUGCUGGGUAAACUAAGUUGAUGAUUCAUGAUUUGACCUUAUUUCAAUUUACCUAAUCUUGUUUUUGAUGGUUUUUUUAUUUAUUUGGUUGAUGCUGUUUUGUUGCAGGUAAAGAAUCAUCCUAUAAAGGCACAAUCCCCUGAACACCCCGGAAGCAUAAUUUUGUCUAAAGAACCAUCACAUCAGGUAUUUUUCUCGUCUUUUUUCUCAAUUGUUUGAAUCUAAAUACUGUUCCAAACCUGAAUCUGAUUUUCGAUACCGUCUUGUGUUUGGACAGGUUGAUUUUUCGCGUCACAUUGGUUCGUUGAGCAAGGCGCAGGCGAAGAAAAUAGCUCGUUUUCUGCCAAAUCCAGAGAAACAUUGGGGUCCAAAGCUUAGGGCUGGACGCCAAAUCACUAGCAAACAUGUUUCGCUGAUUGGUCAUGAAGCAGUUAAUGGUCAUCUUAAUCAACACCAUGAAGAACUUAAAGAAGAAGAUGAAGAAGCAGAGCAAGAAGAUAACCUCAAAGACAAGGUUGAUCUGAAACGCCAGAAGACAACAACUGAGGAUAUUUCUUCAUCAUCAUAAGACAAAUCACUAAAUGCUUACACAAGAGAUCACGUUUUGUCUACAAGAAGAGUUGCCUCUUCAUGAAGAACUUUGUUAUAUCUGUUUAACCAUUUUUGAUAUUACUUAGGCGUUGUUACCCAUUUUUCUGAUUCUUUUUGUUGUGAACUUGUGAGCUUAUUAGUUUCCUCAUUUAUAAUUUUUCCUAGUGAUUUUAUCUUAGGAUUAAUACUAAAUAUAGAUCAAAGUAAUUUUCUUAAACCCUAGUUAACCCCUUUUGAGAAUGUCAAUAACGUAGCAAUAUGCCAAUAUCAUAGUUAUAUGGUACAAAAUUACAAAGCUAUACAUUGUACACAUUUAUGCGAAAAAAUUACUAAAGUAAAUGCACCGACAUCACUGCCAGAGUAAACACAUUUACCAAUAGCACCAGUUGUUCUGUUCUUUUCCUUCAACCUCAGGCACCAAAGAAUAAUCACAAAACGGUUUCAUUUCACUAUAAACCAAACCAAGCUCGUCAUAGAUCUCUUCCCAUCUCGGGUGAGCCUUAUCUCCAACGAGAAACACAUGAAGCUCAUCUUUGAGCUCAACCCAACUGCAACCAGGCUCCUUCUUAAGCUUAAAGCCUCUCAUACUUCUUCUCAAAUCUGAGACCUUUUCCCACAUUCCUGCAUCUGCGUAUACAUUUGAUAGAAGAGUAUAUGCUGAAGAGUCUUGUGGAUCCAAUCUCAACAGAGCAGCAGUUGCUUCUUCUGCAAUCUCUACAUUGUUUCUAUGUAUCGUGCAGACUCCUAACAAGGUUCUCCAUAUAACAUCGUCUGCUUCGUAUGGCAUCUCCCUAAUAAGCUCUAAUGCUCUCUUGACUUUUCCAGAUUUUCCUAAGAUAUCUACCAUGUUCGAGUAAUGAGGUAGCUGAGGAUCCAAGCCAUAGUCUCUCUUCAUCAUGUAGAAGUACUUGAGUCCUUUGUCGAUUAGACCCAUAUGAGCACAAGCUCGGAGUAUCGAUAUGAAAGUUACGUGAUUUGGUUUGAGGUUUUCUAGUAUCAUUCUCUCAAACAGUUGUAUAGCUUCCUCUCCUUUUCCAUGAUGUGCAUACCCGCAAAUCAUGGCGUUCCAGGUCACAAAAUCUCUUCUCAUCGCCUUCUCAAACAUCAAUCUUGAAUCAUGGAGAUCUCCACAUUUCGAGUACAUGUCAACGAGGGUGCUGCAGAUAUACACAUCAGAUUGCAAUUCUUUCUUGAUGACGUGAGCAUGAAUCUGUUUACCUAAUCCAGUGGAAGCUAGAUUCGCACAGGUAUCAAGAACCGUUGCAUAAGUAAAUUUGUCAGGAGUUAUACCCAUAUCCAUCAUCCGGGUAAAAAGCAUCUGAGCAUCCUCGCUUUGUUCCUUCAUUACAUAUCCGGAAAUUAUUGAAUUCCAUGAGACACACAUUUCCUGCAGUCUCUUAUUGUGCAUCUUUUCAAGCUCUUCCAUUGUUCCCGACACAUAAGCUGGUAGAAAAAAUCGCUGAUGUAUCUUCUCAGCCUCUUCUAUCAUUCCACACUUCGAAUACAUAUCGAUCAGAGAGCAUCCAACAGAGGAAUUUGAAGUCAUUCCUGAUUUGACAAUGCUGGAAUGAAUUUCCAUUCCAUAACCCAAAGAACUACCAGCACAAGCUUUUAAUACGCUUCCAUAGGUAAACUCAUCAGGUUCAAUCCUAGAACGGAGCAUCGAGACAAAAAGAGAAAGCGUUUCAAAUCCUUUUCCGUUUUGCUCAUGUGCUGCUAUAAUCGCAUUCCAAGACACAGCAUCUCUUCUUCCCAUCUCAUCAAAUACACAAAAGGCUUCAGCCAGAGCUUGACAUUUCCCAUACAUGUCAAUAGCAGCAUUUGCAACGCAAACAUCUAGCGAUAAGUUGCUUUUUAUUGCCAAACCAUAAAGCUGAAGCCCCUCUGAAAGACCUUUCACUAAGGCACAAGCCCUGAACACUCCUGAUAAACUUAUUUCGUCAAAACCAAGACCCGAUGACAUUAGUCCGUGAAACAACCUUAGAGCUUUGAAACCAUGUUCUUCCUGUGAAUAACCAGUAAUCAUUGCGUUAUAAGAUUGUCUAUUAAGAUUUUCUGACUUGUCAAACAAAAUUUGAGCAUCUUGCAUAUUAUCACACUUUGCAUACAUAUCCAAUGUGGCCGUUCUCACUAUACCAUCUGCUGCAAAAUCUGACUUUAAGGCAUGAGCAUGUAAUUGACAGCCUAAUCUCAAUUCGGAUAAGGCAGCACAUGACCUUAAGACGCUAGCGUAAAUUGACUGGCUCACUCCAGCAUUUACCUUUUGCAUCUCCUUGAAAAACUUGAAAGCAAGGGGCAACAAGUUAUUCUGAACACAACCGGCGAUUAUAGCACUCCAGGAGACAGAGUUCUUGUCUGGAAUACCUUGAAACAGUCUAAGAGACUCGUCAAAUCUCUUGCCUUUUGCAUACAUAUCCAACAAUGCACUUGCAGCUACCACAUCAGUAUCACAACCCACUUGAACAAUAAUCCCAUGAAUCUGCAUUCCUAAACUGGUUUCCUCUAAAUAGGAACACACUUUAAGGAUGAUUGCAAAAGUUCUACCGUCAAACUCCAUACCUGCUCUCCCCAUGUCAAGGAAAAUAUCAAUAGAUUUCAAACUCUCACCGUUCAGCAGAUAUCCAGAAAGCAUUGAGUUCCACGACACAACAUCUCUCACAGGCAUCUUAUCGAAGAAAGAACUCGCUUUAGCCAUGUCAUUACUCUUGGCGUAACCAUUAAUCAUUUUGUUCCACGAAACAACAUCUCUAAGCGGCAUUCUGUCGAACACCAUAGAAGCAGACAUGAAAUCUCUAGAAUUUGUAUAAACCUGAAUCAAACAGUUCAGUACGAAUGUAGUGGGACGAAAACCAGAUAGUAUCAUAUGAGCAUGAGUUUGCUUUCCCAGCUCUAGCGCUCCUUGCUUGGCACAUUCCUUGAAAACAAACGAAAAGUUGGUCGUGCUAGUUGCGUUCACUUGAUUCACAAAAUCCGUAAAGUAAGAGAAGACUGGAACUCUUCGGUACGAAAUUUUAUCUGUCAGACAUCGAUUGAAUGAAACCACUGCUCUGGUCAUAUGCAACAAUCUGAGAUUCUCCGCCAUGAGUCAUAAUGAAUUGAACCUCAGCCCCGUGGUAUCUAUGGCGGGAUUGAAACGAUUACAACUGAUUCGGUUCGGUUUACUCGGUUUUAAAAAUAUGUAAACCGACUGAAAUCGAAUAUCAAUGAGCUGUAACUCAACCGGUUUAAUAAACGGCUGAAUGUACGCUAAGAGUCGUCGUAAAGUCAACAAAGUCGUUGUAGUAUAGUGGUAAGUAUUCCCGCCUGUCACGCGGGUGACCCGGGUUCGAUCCCCGGCAGCGGCGUUAACCUUUUUAUUACGUCAACACUUCGUCUUAUCUGACAUAUACACAUCAUCAUAAUAUUAUAUCCUUUGUGUACGAAUGCAUACGAUUUUCCCUCUGAAAUUUCCUUUUUCCUUUUUUUUUUUCUUUUACAUUUUUCUCUGAAACAAAACAAUGGCGUCGACGAAGCCCGGUCACGCAAUCAACCUUGAAGAACAGGCGGAAGGCGACGGUGUAGUCGUAGACCACCCGAUUUUUAUACCGGAGGCCACUAGCUUGCUCGUUUCCUACUCUCCGUUCGACAACAGGGACAUCGAUUGCAAUCCUUAUUUCCCUUUCUCAGGACCAAUUUCAGAUUCUGGAUCAGGUUCUUACUCGGAUUCAGAACCCGAUCCGUACAUAUGUCCCAUCGAUUUCUUCGAUCAAGAUUCGUCCGAGGUUGACGCGGCUGAGUACUUGGAAUCGGAAGGGCUGUCCCCCGGUGAUUUCAAUAUUUGGGGCUUUUAUGACCCCAAGGAAGACGAAGAUGAGAUAGUUUUGGGAACUAGAUGUGUAUCUGGAUCCGGGUCGGAUCAGCAACCGGGUGAUUCAGGUGAGCAAGGGCUUCGAGUGACCGGGAUCGAUUCGGAUUCCGACUUUGAAGAUGACGUGUUUGGUUAUACCUCUGAAGAUAGCGGGAAUAGAGCAAAUGAUUCGGAUCGGGUCGAGGUUGGUACGGGUCUCCCUCCUAUAUGGGAUAGCGUCUUCGGAGAGGAAACCAUGUUGGCUGAUGAAGAAUGGGAGGAGGUGCAGAACGCAAUUAAUUGGACGGUUAGGGCUUUUGGUAGACCUGAAGAAGAAGAAGAAGAAGGUGAAGAUGAAUUGUCUUCACUCUCAAGGGAUGAUGAAGAAGAGCAUGAACUGGAUUGGGAGGUUUUGUUAACUGUUAACAAUGUUGUUAAUUAUAUCGAACAAGCAGAAGGAAUCAUGAUAAACACUGAUGAUAUCGAUCCGAAUUAUUACCUUUAUCUAGCUAGUUUGGAUGAAUUUGAUGAAAAUCAAAGUGGACACUAUGAUGCUGAUGCUAUUCUUGGGCAAAUGUUUGAUAACGAGACUGGAAUCAAAGGAAAUCCUCCAGCAGCCAAAAGUGUAACUGAGGAUCUUCCAGUUGUGGAACUCACAGUGGAGGAAUUGAACAAAGGGAACGUGGUUUGUGCGAUAUGUAAAGAUGAAAUGGUAGUGGAGGAGAAAGUAAGGAGGCUUCCUUGUAAGCAUUUCUAUCAUGGAGAGUGUAUUAUGCCUUGGUUGGGGAUAAGGAAUACUUGCCCUGUUUGUCGGUAUGAGCUGCCUACUGAUGAUCUUGAGUAUGAAACGCAUAAGAGCUCACAAAGAAGUGAUACCAGUUUGGCAAGGAAUCUACCGGGUAUCUAUAGAUAUAGUUAAAUGAAUUUGAAGUCUCUGUUGUCCAUGUUAAUAGCCACGUUUCAGAGGCAAAUCCUGAAACCACUAUCUUUUAUAGUAAGCUGCACUUGCCGUGGAUGUGAUAAUGUUCAUGUUGUAAAUGUAAAUAUUCCUGUUUUGUGAAAUAAACCAUGUUUAAACUUGGAACCCAUAAAUCUUGCAAGUGUUUGUGAAGUUAAUAUUCUUCAUAGUUGUUACCCAUUGACGAUUCUUAUGCAAGUUUUUGGAUGAUCUGGAUAGAUCAGUACUAUAGGUUACCCGUAUGUAAUGGAUUUGAUUAUAGACCUCUGCGAUGCUACUUGUUUUCUCAGUGAAACUUAUGUUUGUAUUGUUGCAGGACUCCAUAUAGUAUCUUACAGAUUCUAUAAGGUUUGUAAAAGUAAUAUAAAGUCUUAUCACAGGACUGGUAUGUUAUGCUAUAUAUGUCUGAUAUGAUUGUAUCUUUUUUUGUUUUACCCGAUCAAGUUCGCUGAGUUUUAAAGAAGAAAUCAAAGACUGUCUAUGGUCGCCUGUCAUCCCGGGAAAUGUUGAAACACCAUCUACGAGCUUUGCAAACCAAGGUUCCAAUACUCUUGUUACAAGUUGUCGUCUUUCUCGGGGAAAAUACCGAAUAUCGUGAUGUUUUAAUUGAGAACUACGUGCCGUUUAGUCGUUUAAUUGAAAUAUGGCCCCAGAUGGCCCAAAUAUCAGCCUGUUAUAUUUUAAAGCCCAUAUGAGAAGCAAAAGAGAGAAUAAAUUAACGGGGGUGAGACAUAAAAAUAAACGAAACAAAAGGUGUGAAUGUGAAAAAAAAAAAAUGAAAAAAAGUUUUAGAUUUGGCAAUUGAUCGCACCGACGCGGAAAGCCUUUGGUCUCCCUGACUCGUCAGUCGUCACCAUCCUCUCCAAUCUCCAUUACAUAAUAUUUUGUAAGUUAGUUAGCAGUGCACUAAUAAAUAUUUUGUAAUUAUUUUUAUAUGAUUAAAUUUAUUAACGUGUUUUCUUCACUAAAUGUUUGAGAUCUAUCCGUCACACUCCAGAGGUUAACUCAGUCAUCUGUCUCUCUGGGACAAGCAAGUACCUCACCGACGAAUCGAAUCGAAAAAUUCCCGAUCUCGACCUGUAAAGUUGAAGUGUAUCGGUAGAAAUGGCGGUGGCCUUCCGUGGAGGCCGAGGCGGUGUCGGAUCCGGCCAGUCUGCCGGACUUCGUAGUUUCUUCUCUUACCGGAUCUUUAUCUCCGCUUUGUUCUCUUUCCUCUUCCUCGCCACUUUCUCCGUCGUUCUUAACUCUUCUCGUCAUCAACCUCAUCAAGAUCAUGUACGCAUCUCCAAUCUCUGAGCUCCUUUAAUUCUCUUGGGUUAUGCUUUUAUCGAUUUGCAAUUCAAUCAAACAAAAUUAGAAAUGAAUGAAUCGGUGAUAAUUUCUUUGAAUAUUAUAUCUGAGCUUCGAUAUUUUUGUUUGUGGUGUGGUUUAGACAUUGCCGAGUAUGGGAAACGCAUAUAUGCAGAGGACGUUUUUGGCUUUACAAUCGGAUCCAUUGAAAACAAGGUUGGAUCUGAUACACAAGCAAGCCACUGAUCAUCUCACACUUGUGAAUGCAUAUGCUGCUUACGCCAGGAAGCUUAAGCUUGAUGCUUCCAAGCAGCUUAAGCUGUUUGAAGAUUUGGCUAUCAACUUCUCGGAUUUACAAUCAAAACCUGGUUUGAAAUCUGCUGUGUCUGACACCGGCAAUGCUCUUGAGGAGGAUACGUUUAGGCAGCUUGAGAAAGAAGUUAAAGAUAAGGUGAAGACAGCCAGGAUGAUGAUCGUUGAGUCUAAAGAGAGUUAUGAUACUCAGCUUAAAAUCCAGAAGUUGAAAGAUACAAUCUUUGCUGUCCAAGAACAGUUGACCAAAGCUAAGAAAAACGGUGCUGUUGCAAGCUUGAUUUCAGCCAAGUCGGUCCCUAAAAGUCUUCAUUGUUUGGCCAUGAGGCUUGUAGGUGAGAGGAUCUCAAAUCCUGAGAAGUACAAGGAUGCUUCACCUGACCCAGCUGCAGAGGAUCCAACUCUUUACCACUAUGCCGUUUUCUCUGACAAUGUGAUUGCUGUCUCAGUUGUCGUGAGAUCGGUUGUGAUGAAUGCCGAGGAGCCAUGGAAGCAUGUCUUCCAUGUGGUCACCGACCGAAUGAAUCUUGCAGCCAUGAAGGUCUGGUUUAAGAUGCGCCCUUUGGACCGUGGUGCCCAUAUUGAGAUCAAAUCCGUGGAGGAUUUCAAGUUCUUGAACUCUUCAUAUGCACCGGUCUUGAGGCAGCUCGAGUCUGCAAAGUUGCAGAAGUUUUACUUCGAGAAUCAAGCUGAGAACGCAACUAAAGAUUCCCAUAACCUCAAGUUCAAGAACCCGAAAUAUCUCUCAAUGUUGAACCAUCUCAGAUUUUACUUACCAGAGAUGUAUCCCAAGCUGAAUAAGAUUUUGUUCUUGGACGAUGAUGUUGUGGUGCAGAAAGACGUGACUGGUUUAUGGAAAAUCAACUUGGAUGGCAAGGUGAAUGGAGCUGUUGAGACAUGCUUUGGCUCUUUCCAUCGAUAUGGUCAAUACUUAAACUUCACUCAUCCUUUGAUCAAAGAGAGCUUUAGCCCCAGUGCUUGUGCUUGGGCCUUUGGAAUGAAUAUAUUUGAUCUCAAUGCCUGGAGGCGCGAGAAAUGCACUGAUCAAUACCAUUACUGGCAGAACUUGGUAAGUCCAUCAUGCUUAGUGGUAUAAUGUAUAACUCUUUCUUAGUAACUUAGACAUAUCAAUGCUGUUGAUGUGCUUACAUUCUGUUGAUUCUGUUUUUGCUGAGCAGAAUGAAGACAGAACUCUUUGGAAAUUGGGCACUCUCCCCCCGGGAUUGAUCACAUUCUAUUCAAAGACGAAAUCACUGGACAAAUCUUGGCAUGUGCUUGGGUUAGGAUACAACCCGGGAGUGAGCAUGGACGAGAUCAGAAAUGCAGCAGUGAUCCAUUACAAUGGAAACAUGAAACCAUGGCUUGACAUUGCAAUGAACCAAUACAAGUCUCUCUGGACGAAAUAUGUCGAUAACGAAAUGGAGUUUGUGCAGAUGUGCAAUUUUGGUCUCUAAAGAGAGGGAUGAUAAAAAAAAAAAAAACCAAACCCGAAAGAGGCAAAAAAUCGGAGAAGAGGUAACCUUGGAUCGAUUUGUUUCUGUCUUCCUGGGCAAUUCUUUAACUGAUACGUUUAUCUUUAUAUAGGGGUUACAAAGUAUUUUGCUUGUUAUUUCUGUCAUAGUUUUGGUCUUUAUUUAUAAAUUAUGUAAACUCAUCACAGCAAUAUGUUCUCCAAACUACAAUGUCUGUCUUUGUUGUCUUUCUUUCAUACUUGUCGGCCUAAGAAACAAUCAUCAAGAAACUCAAAUGUGUCCUAAAGGAUUAUUCUUCCCUUUCUAGAAUGCUCUCAUAAUAAUAUACAGAUAUGAGUCUGAACGUACAAGUGUAUUAGGCUCAAACUUGGCGGUUGUUGGUGAUGAAUUAGGAUUUUGUUGGAGUGAAAUAUUCUUCUGAAAGAAACAGUGUUAAGAAACAGUGUUUCAACUUAUGCCAAAACACGGUUUAGAAUGUCAUGUGCAAUACUUGGCACACAAAAAAAAAAAAAGAAUUGAAUUUAUGAACAAAGUACAAUACUGUAUAUGAAUAUGAACUAAAAGCGUAUGUAGAACUCUAUAAAACACCAUUUCAUAAACUUUAUGUACAUGUGAAGAUCCAAUAGAAUACGAACGACUACCACCACCAACCCAACCCUUUUCUCACCUAACGCAGAGUGGCCAAUUUUGACAAUACUUUAAAACAAGAAAGGGAAUAAAAAAAAUUAUAAUUAUUAGUGGUGGUGCGAAUCAGAUCGUUCAUUUGCUAUAUAUCUGAGACAUAACAAAAAACAUCACUAAUAAUCUCCUCCAAUCUUAAGAUCUUUUCCUCAUAUUAUAAUUUGUAUUGGACAAAUCUCAAAACUCCAUCUCAGGAGAAAGCAAAGCAGGUUUGUUUCUCCGAUCACACUCUGUCUCUCGUUUUCCCAAUCAUAUUUUUGAUUUGCAAUCUGAUUCUUCCAAUCGCUUUUCGAUAUAAUUGAUGUGUUACCGAAAUUUCGGGAAAAAGUGAUCCAGAAAUUUGUGUGUCGUGAUCUAGUACUUUCAUUGCAAAUUCUCAUUGUUAUCAUGUUCUUUAGAUCGCUAUUUUGGGUCUAAAGCUAAUCGAUUCUCAGUGUAUGCUAUUUUCGUUACAAAAAUGAGAUUUUUCAUGCUGGUUUAUUGAUUCCUGUGUUCUAAGAUCUUGGAGAUCUUAUAUUCCUGCUUUAAAUCUUUGGGUUUAUAUUAUAGAUCGAUCAAGCAAUGAAGCUGUUGUCUGUUUUAUAUACAUCACCUCUUUGGUCUAAAGUGUUUAGCUUCUCUUUGAUUUGAGAUUUGUAAGAGAAGUUUUUUUUUUUUUGGCAGAGGGAAGAAAACUAAAAAAAAAAAAAAUGGCUGGUCAACCUACAAGAAUAGGUCUUGCUGGACUGGCUGUGAUGGGUCAGAACUUAGCUCUCAACAUUGCUGAGAAAGGCUUCCCAAUCUCUGUUUACAACAG
rnacentral:lncRNA from 1 species